UAAAGCCAUGUAACUCUGGAAAAAUCAUCAACAAAGACUACAAAAUAUUUAAAACCUAACUUUGAAGUGACUCGACUAGGACCCCAAACAUCAGAAUGAACUAACAAAAAAGGUUCAGAAACCCGUUUAUUGACUCUAGGAGCAAAAGAAACACGAUGAUGCUUUCCUAACUGACAAGACUCACAUUCUAACGAAGAUAAUUGAUUCAAAGUAGGAACCAACUUUUUCAAAUUUUGUAAAGACGGAUGACCUAAACGACAGUGAAUUUCAAGAGGAGAAACAGUAGCAGGACAUGCUAUCGGACCAUUGAAGUUGAGAAAAUAAAGACCAUUAUGCUCAUGCCCUCCACCAAUCAUCCUCUUUGUCUUCAAAUCCUGAAUGACAACAGAAUCAGGAGAAAAAGUAACUGUACACUGUAGAAAUUUAGUGAGCUUACUAACAGACAUUAGAUUAAAUGGCAAAUUGGGUACGUAAAGAACAGAAGAUAGCGGAAGUGAUGGAUUAAUUUCUACAGUGCCUAGUCCUUUAACUUUAGUAGUAGAUCCAUCAGCUAAAGUAACAUGAGGAAAGGGAGUUGACUCUUGAAAAUUAGAAAAAAUUUUAGAGGUACCUGACAUAUGAUCAGUAGCCCCGGAAUCAAUAAUCCAUGGGUCAUUACCUUUUUGUGCUAAAGAAGCAGAGGGAAGAGAUGCGUGAUUUGUAGCUUGGUACUGUAGGAAUUUAACAUAAUCUUCCUCAGAUAUAGUAACAGUUUUCUGGGACCCAUGUGUUGAAGAACUUGAUUCAACUUGGUCAGUGAUAACCGUAUUAACAAACCUUUCAACCAUAGCGAAUAGCACGUCAAACGAAAGAACGGGUCAAAACUUGAGACAAACGCGUGAACAGUAACGGCAUGAACAGUAACUACGUGAACAGUAUCGGCGUGAACAGUGCCGUGAACAGUAUACGUGAACAGUGCCGCUAUGAACAGUGCGGCGUGAACAGUGAUUUGCUAGAUGUUUUACCCUAACCCUAGGACUUUUGCUCUGAUACCAUGUCAACAGGUAUCUUGGGAGGAAAACAUCUAGUCACACUAUUAUGAGUGACCAACUAGUAUUUAUAGGAGUACAAACCUAACAGACUAUUUACAAGAAUACCCUUACUAAUUUAUUAUCUAUAAGAAUACUAAUAUUCUCCUAACAAUGAGAACUUGUGUUUCUGCUCUCACCUAUGGUAGCAUCGCGAAAGACAAAACUUUGACCCACUUGGCCAUAUUAGGUAUGCUAUAUAUGUGAUGAUUUUUAAAGUUUUUUGUUAUGGUAGUGCCUUUCUGGGUCAUUCCAGUUGGUAUUUGAUCAGGCUCCAUGUGGUUCCAUGACAAGAUUAACUGGGCCUCUCAGGGCUUCAAUAAGGCAAGUUAUUAUGCGAGUAGGGGUCAUUGCAUUUCGUAUUAAGUUAGCAUCUGUGUGGUCUUUGUUAAGGAUGGCAAUGGGUGCGGCACCCGCCCCACGGGGGGCUAAUGCCCCCCCCCCCCCCGGUUUAGAAACGGGACGGGGGAGUGUACUCAUGCGCCAUCCUCCGCCCUGCCACCUGCUUAAAAAAAAUAAAUAUAUAAAUAUAUAAAUAUAUAUGUAUAUAAUUAUAUAUAUAAUAUUUAAUUUAAUUAGUUAGAAACUUAUGAUAAUUAUAUUAUUAGUUAUAUGUAUUAUAUAAUGUAUAUUAGUAUAUGUAAUAUAAUUGAUAUUAUCAUUAUACUAAUAAUUAUAUAUGUCUACUAAUAGAAAUAUUAAUUAGUUAUAUUAAAUUUACUAAUACAUUUAUAUUAAAUCCCUAAUUACACUUAAUACAAUAACAUCUUUUUCUCAAAAUGAAAAGCACAAGCAUAAUAAUGAAUUAGUGAUUGGAUUUGUGUCAAAAGUGAAAACUUGACUACUUUAAUUGUAUUUAUUUCAUCAUGUUAGAUUGUAUUCAAAUAACUUUUGUUUGAUUGUUUUUGUAAGUUUCAAUUGUGAAAUUACAAUGAAUAUGGUGAUGUAUUGAUAUUUUAAUACUUGAUUAUUUGCUAAAAUUUAACUAUAAUAAAAUUAUAUAACAAAUUUUAUUAGCCCCGCGGGGGAAGCGGGGCAGGGGGCUAGGGAGGGUUGCCAUCCUUAGUCUUUGUGGGGAUUAGCAAGAACUUUCUGGGUGUCAACAAGGAAAGUUGUUAAGCUAGUGCAGAGGGUUAUCCCCCUUUAGUUUAAGCUCCUGACAUGACCAUUGUGUUAAAAGAAACAGUGUUUGAACUGUUUUAUACACUGUUGAGGAGGGUUAAGGUAUGUAUUAUGAACACUCUCAGAUAUAUAUUAAAGUCAAAAAUGGAACUUUUAAUACUACUUAAAUUUUGGAAAUAUACCAGUGAACUUUUAAAGUUUGUUGUCAUUAUACAUCGAGAUAAACUCAGGAAAAAUUACAGUUUUGGAGUAUUAGAAUAAACUUUAAGUUUAUUGUUGUCAACAUAUAUUAAGGUAAACUGAGGCGAGAAAUCUAAAUCUGGCAUCUUACUGAUUUUUUUAUGUGAAUGCUUUUUGGAAUUUCAUGUUAAUGGUUGAUUAAGGUUUACUAGUGAAUGAGUUUCAGUCAGGCCUUCAGAAUAUUUAAUCUUCUGUUUAGUAAUUUUAACUUGACGCACAAACAGAAGUGAUCUUAGUUUUCAAGAACUUUGGGUUCUUUCAGCUGUGGGCUCCACUGAAACUAGAUUCAAACUGAUUCAGACCCAGAUUACUGGCAUGGAACAAAAUGAGAUACCAUUUCUAAUUUCUUUCUCCACAGAACUUGUCAUUACACUACUGCAAUCUUUUAUUCUCUCUCUCUCCCCCCCCCCCCCCCCCCAAAACAAAAUAUCUGAAGCAUUUUGUGUCUACCGUGUCUCCCUAUCUGCCUUCCAAAUUUGGGGCAAAUAAUGUUUUUGUCUUAAUACUGGGCAAUAGUGGGACCCAAACCCAUGAUGCUUGUGCCAUAUGUGAAUCAUCAGGGAAAUCUUUGGGGCAAGUAUUAUUAGGAAGUUGACUCGUAAUUUUGGAAUUCAGACUUCUCAAGUAAAUUAAUCAUGUUCUUCUCAUUAUUCAUCUGCUGUUAUACUUACAGUAAUUAUGCAUAUUUGUCUUGUUCUUAUUUGUCAGACUUCUUGUACUAUCAAGAAACAUAGUGAACAACGUUUAAAGAGUUCUUUGACUACUGAUGCCAACAAAUCUGCCAAUUCGAACUUGACACUAUCUAAGAGUGCUGAUGCAUCAAGAAUUUGGAUAGAGGGUUUGCAGAAAACGACGCAUCAGGAGGUUCAUUCUGGAGGGACUGUUGAAGUGCGCAAUGAGUCCUCUGUCGAUAAUCAGCAUGAAAUGCAUGCAAGUGUAAUAUCUGAAUCCAUCAUGAGUAAAGAACGAGUUGGAUCUUCUUGUGACUCUGUAGCAACAAAACGCACAUUGGGCUUGAAUGAAGACUUUCCAAGCUGUUUACAAGAGAGGGACAUGAAUAUGACACAACAGCAAUACCGAUAAAGUUGCCAAAUUGUCAACAGCCAACCACAAGAAAGCUAAUUUAGCCAAGGUAUAUGUAUUAUUUAACUCUAAAAUGACUAGAAAAAAUUUUUUUUGGCUAAGUGCCUGGAAAAUUUUGUUCUUUCUACCAUUGCUGAUUGUCCUACUGUGAUUUGUCGGACUACUAUAGGAAAACAAAGACAAGGGUGAAGCAUCAGAUGUUGAGCACCAACAAAUGCGAGCUUCAACUCAUUAUAGGUGAGAACCGGCAGGUGAAGUUGCACAGUUGUGAAACACUGUCCUGUCUUUAUGUAACAGACUUCUCUUGUUCUUUUACUUCUUAAUUAAAAUGCAGCUAGUCUGGUGAAUUUGAUACCACCAAAUUUAGUAGGCAAUCAGGAUGAAUUGCCAGUUGCUUGUUGGUUUAAUACACAAAUCAAUUCUAACAUCCGUUGAUUUAAACCAAUUAAACAUAUGAUAGCAAUAAUAAUCUAUUCGUUGGGACUGAGAUCUUAAAACCAAAUAUCUCCUUUGAUUCAAAAUUUUAGUUCAUGAGUUUGAAUUUAACCAUUUUGGUUGACCUAUAAUGACUUGUUUGACUGAAGCAUUGACUUGUUCUGCAUUUGCUGAAAAUACAAAAUAUGCCAAGCACUAAACUCAACAAGACACAAAGGAAACAUUGAUGCCUAAAUCUAACAUUGAACACUAAAAAGAAAUAUAUAUGACCUUGGGCCAAAGCUUCUUUUGAAUAAUGUAUAUUCAGUCUUGGCCUAAAAACUUCGGUAGUGCACUAGAGGACCAUUAUUGGUCCUGGUUUGGAUUUGGAUUGGUCCAGUUCCAGUAAUGUAAAAAACAAUAUAAAUUUAGCGCUAGACCUGUUCAUGAGAUCCAACCCAUAUUUGAUUAAUAGGUUUCACAAGUAGAUUGGUUAGAUCUGCUUGUUCCCCUGUGACAAGGAGCAUACCUCAUUAUGUAUGUGUGUAUUAGUUAUUUUAUGUUUAUUACGCCUUAAAAGUAUUUAUAACUAUUAGCCAUUGGAUCGCACCUCUAGUAUUCUCUACAUUUAAAUCUGUGAAACUCUACCCCCGUUUCUGGCAUUUUGCAACUUCUUCACCUAUGCACCACAGCCCAGUGCAUUCUCUCUCUCUCUCUCAUGCGCAGACAGACAUAUUCAAAAAGGACAAUACACGAAGUGUGUUUCUGUGUGAGUAUAUAAAAAAUUUGCUUAUUGUGGGCUCAAGCCGACUUGCUUUAGGUGAGUUGGCCACCAAGUGAAGCAUAAGGUGCAGGCCUAGCUGCAGGUCUGGGGUUCAAACCUCUGCACCCUGCAGUCAAAUCUGAAUGGUGUACUGUAGUGCACCCCUUUGGUCCAGAGGUGGAAACUGCUCCUUCUAGCCCUCCUUUGCCUAGUUGGGCCCUCCCUUAAACAGGUUAGAGUAGGAGUAGGAGCAGUAGAGUUGACGAUUGACCCAAAGGAAUAAAAAGCUUAUUCUGGGCUCAUAUGUGCAUAUCUACUGUGGUUCUAGUAGUGCCUCUCACACAGGAAUAGAUUCAUAACUUUGGAAAUUUUGAAGAACUUUCUUUCCUUAUUGACACUUUAACUCAAGCAUGACUUUAUGGAAAAUCAGUUCUUGGUUUCCUUAUGAUCAAUAAUUCAGUGUUUCACUUUUAUUUUUUCCCUAAUUUUGUUGUUGUUUAUUUUUCCAGCUUCAGUUUUGGUGUGACUGGUCUGUUUGCAGUGAGAUCAUUUUCCUUCACUAUAAUGGUGUAGCAAAAAUGUUAAAAUAAUUAAAGUGGAUAAUAGCCAUAGUGACUCUUGAUGAAUAUUAACUAUCAAACUUGAGAAUUGAGGCAAGAGUCCGCCUAAUGAUGGUGCUACAUCUAAAUAUAUUGAAUCCUUUGAAAUGGUUUUGGAGUGAACUAUGGAUGAAUGUGUUCCAUCUAUCUGGUGAUUUAUGUUACUGAAACUUUGUGUCAUUGUGGUACAAGACUUUUCACAUGUGGUGGUUGGCCAACUUCACUGAACAUCUAAUACCUCAGUACCAUAUUUUGGCAUUACAUUUCACACAAUGUGGGUCCAGCAAGGCAUCUGCAUGUUUUAGGCCUGUAGGAAUAUGGACCGGAUGAUGCACAUGUCAAUCUAUCUGAUCUGGAUCCUAAAAGAUGUCUUGUGGAUCUGCCUGCUUAUAUCUCUAUCCGCUUAUACGAGCCCUUAUUCUGUAAAACUGUAAAGUUAGAUCCAUUUUCCUUCUGAUGGUGAAUUAAUGAACCAGAAGAAUGUUCAAUCUUCAUACCUCCAUUGUUUUCCUCAUUGGACUUUAUUGAUAAAAGGUAGCAAAACUCCGCAACUUUUUUUUUCUCUCUUUUCCUUUUUAAAAGACAAGUAUUGCUAGGAUUAUACCUGAAACUGAAGAUUAAGACAUUCCUUUAAUAUUGUGGACCCAAGCUCUUUAUGCUAUUCUCUUGCUCCAUCAUGUCAAGAUGCAGGUGCCUCUUCCCUCAAACCUAUUUAGCCUUUCACGUCAUCUUCCUUUUAUUUUCACUUCUUUAAUCACGUGUAUCGGAAUACCUGAUUCGCAAAAUCUUUACAUUGUGGUUAUCAAUCUGAAAUUUCCCUUGUAUAUGUAUAUGCUUCCACCUUACUGGAAAGUACCUUUGAUAUAUUUGGCUUUGAUUCACAAUUGCUUACUAGUAUUUUUGGCAUUACAACUGUCAUGGCUAUAGGAUGUGUAGCUCAAAUAGGUCCUAUGAGAGAUUAUGUCUUUCCAUAUUAUCCUUCAUGAUAAAUGGUUGCUUUUACCCAUAUAUUUGCGUUCCACCGUCGAAAAUAUAUUAUUUUUAACAAGAUUUGACAUGGAUGAUUAUAGCAAUGAUGGGGAGAACUCUUCUGUCCACAGCAAAAGGGAAACCUCUGGUGCAUGUGACUCUGAUUGCGAAGGAAACUCACUCAAGAAGACAAAAUUUUUUGCUGAAGAGAUUCCUCUCCCUGGUAAUCUCUAGAUAUGUCUUAAUUAAAAUCACAAUAAUUCAGUUUAUCUUGAAAAUUUAUAUAACAUGAAAGCAUCUUGUAUAAAAUUCAACACCUGUAUCUCUUUUUUGUCAAGCCAAUAACUUAACUGUUGUUGGCUCCGUUGGCCAUUAUUUUGUGGUGCACCUCUACUGCUGCACUGCCUUCUGAACAUUACUUAUGUUUUAGUGUGCUUUAAUACUAUUUUCUUCUCUCUGAUAUAUAUCGGUCAAUGUUCUUGGUCAACGCAUGAUACUUUGUGGAACUACAGUUUCCAUUAGAGAGCAGCUAACAGGUUCUAUUAAAAACUAAACAUUACAGGGGAAGUUACGUUAAGGAUUUUGAAUAACUUUUGAAGGGUGCAGAUAACAUAUUAUGUUGGUGAUAUGGAUAUGUAGUGUGACAUCUCUGACUUCUAGCUGCAGAGAAUACUAAGAAGAUACGAAGAUCAAAAGUUGCGGCAUCUAAAGCCAUCAAUGUGAACAAGGACAUGGUAAAGGUUCUUCUGGCUUUUUUCUCUUUGUGCUUGAUAUGCUUCUAAUAACCACAUGCUUCUUAAGAUAAAGUUUGAUUCCCAUAAGUUAGCAAUUUCUAAUGACCACAGCUUCCAUCUAAAUAAACAAUCUAUAGUGUUCAUUUUUGCGCCACAAACAACUAAUCUCUACAUCUUUGUGAUGACUUUUGUGUUGUAUCAUUUCAGAUUGCAUGGAGGACUCGAAGACAGAAAGUUUAACUUGGUUAACUGUUCUAUUAACGUUCUUGUCAGUAAAUUGUUUGUCUCUAUGCCAUAUGACGUGUUUUAGUGAAUUCAUACGUUCACUAUUAGUGCAUAUGUACGACUUUUUCAUCUUGUUUAUGGAGCUCUGUCACAAAUAUAGUAUCCCUAGGUUGGGAUGCUCCUUGGUUAUGUAUUUCGUGUACGGAUGAUGCAGAUUGUUGGAAUUGCUGUUGGAUUUUAGAUUGACGCCCAGUCUGAGGACUGAAAAGUUUUUAGCUGAUUGAACAAUUAACAUUCCUUGUAAUUGUUCAGUUAAAAUUUUGUUUAUCAAGUCCGGCCUUGGAACUCUACCUUGAGGUUAAAUGAUAUGUGUACCCUCUGAUUCUUUUCAAUUUCAUGAGGGGUAGCUCUUCUUUUUGGUUUAUGGAAUGGAAAAGACUAAGCGGUAAGUGAAAAGUGGGCUGGCUAAGAUUAAGAUUAUGUAGUAAUACAGAGUAAAGAUCCAUUUCUAAUGGUGUUGACACAAGGGGGGAAAAAGGCUUUGCAUUAUUGGGGUAUUUUUUUUAAAAUUAAAAAAAUCAUCCAUCACCACCCCCUCCUUCCUCUCUCCUCCUCCCUUUUCCUCCCUCUUCCUUCCCUCCCAUUUUUCCUACUUGCAAAACCCUCCACCUCCCUUCCAGAAGCCAGUUGCGAUCAGAGCUUCUCAUUGCGGGAUGGGGAGGGUUUUUGGGCAAAGGGGAGGGGAGGAAGAGGGAGGAGGAGAAAGGAAGAAGUAUUUUUUAUAUUGUUGAAAUUGACACGGUAAACAUCAAAUCGUUCGAGACCAGUAUUGUUGUUAUAACCCCAAGCCAGACCACCAAUGUGCUUCUAAAAGCCAAGCCAGCCUCUCCAACUGUCACCUUCAUCAUGGCUGUCGCCUGCCACACCCUACUUUACAGGGUUAGGUACCUUAUUCUACUAUUACCAGGAUCCUUGAAUGCCAAAAACAUGCUUCCCACGCAAACAAAACGGUCAUAAAUCCAACCCUGCCUGCACUACUGAAUGCCACUGGCUUUCUUGCAAACUUCACCAGGAAAUUUCGUAGCUUAGCCACAACCAAAUUUCCAGCAGAUGUUCCACAGACCAUGCAAAACAAGUUUUUCUUCACCAUACGACUUGGAUCGAGUCCUUGCCCUGCUAACAAAACUUGCCAAGGACCAAAUGGCACAAAAUUUGCAGUUUCAGUUAACAAUAUUUCUUUUGCUCUCCCAUCAACAACUCUUCUGCAUUCCUACUUCUUUGGGAAACCAGGUAAAUCAAAUGGUGUUUUCACCACUGAUUUCCCAACCCCAACCCCCAAAUCCAUUGAACUAUACUGGAACACUGCUUAAUAAUACACCAGUUAGCAAUGCAACUUGGACUGUCGGGUUACAAUUUAAUACGUGUUGAGGUAGUGUUGCAAGACACUAGCAUUCUGGGGCCAGAGAGCCAUCCUCUUCACCUGCAUGGUUUCAACUUCUUCGUCGCUGGGGAGGGGUUUGGAAACUAUAAUCCAAACAAUGACCCUUCCUAAUUCAAACUAGUGGAUCCAGCUGAAAGGAAUACAGUGGAGGUUCAAUCAGGUGGCUGGAUCGCCAUUCGGCUCUUUACAGACAAUCCAGGUACCUUGCAUGAAAAACAAGAUGCACCUCUUACCAGAAAGAAAUAUAGUCAACUUUAGACCAGAUCAAUGGAUUUUCAAGUACUAAAAAAAACACAUUGACAUGUGGUCAUACUGCUGUUUCUCCGUUGAGCCAACGAACUUGUACUGAUUGUUUGCCAUGUCAAACAGGUUUCAAGGUUCAUCUUUUGUUUUCAUCGCAUGAAUCAUAAAGAGAAUUUACCUCAUUAUCACCAGUAGCCAUGAAAUUCAGUUGUCCUUCUAAGGAUGAAGACCUAUUGGCUGCCAUGAAAUUCAGUUGCCCUUCUAAGCAUGAACACCUAUUGGCUGCCAUGAUAAUUUACUCCUAAGUAUGAAAAAUUUAGAAGAUGAAAUUUUGCAAAUAAUCUACAAGAUUAAAAGAACAAGAAAAACUCAAAUCAACCAAAUUAGCAAAUAAGAACCACAAUUAAAGAUAAGGAGAGUAGAGAAAGAGAAAUCAAACACAAUAUAUUUACAGUAGUUUAGUCACCCUCCUUGGUGCUUGUAGUCACUCUCAACCUUUUUCCAAACCUUAGUGUUUCUUCACUAUUGUCCCUCUUUCAACAAGUGAAGCAACAAAACCAUAUACACUUAAGGAUCACCUUUCUUCCUCGAAUUCAUUAAUUCUUGAGCCAAUGUUUUUAAUCCUCUUUAGAGCAACCUCAAUCUAUUACAAAUGAGGAUUACCUCUCCAAGGUUUUACUUCUCUUUAAUAAGAAACCUCACAUGAACACUCAAAUAAUUUCAUGUAUAGUAAGAACUAACACUCUAGUAGUCACUCUAGUAGUGUUGAACUGUUGAUAUGAUACAAAUGAAAAUUCAUUAGUACCCUCAGUAGUGAGAAUUGUACAAUAGAAGUUCAAGAUUGAAACAUAUUCAAGUUUAAUCUCAUGAUUUAGAAGAAUAGAUGAAAGGUAAUAGGUGACUAUUUUGUGUAGAUUUUGAAUUAUAUUUCAUGAUAUUUUGAGUCACUUUUGGAAUGUUUCAAGAAGAAAAUGGUUCAUUUUGAUUAGAAUUUGUUCUAAGUAUAAUCUAGCAUUUAGUUGAAAUUUUGUCCCUUUUUCACUCACGAAAGUUCAUAUUUUGCAGGGUUUCUAGAUAUCAACUUUAAAGUUGGAUGCAAGAUGAGAUCAUGAUGCACUUGAUGAAGUACAAAAGUUCAUGAAAUUGGUGAACUUUGAAGGCAAAAGCUGCACACAAUUUAACCUAGAUGGAUGAAAAUUUGUCAAGCAAGAAAUGUCCAAAAGAAAUCCAUAGCCGGAUUCAUGACGGGAUUCACAACCGGAUUUAGAGCAUAAGCAAGGCUUUGAAGCACUAAAAUUUCACAAAGAUAGGAACCAAUCCGUAGCUAGAUGCCGGAUUCACGGUAGAGACUAGUUGAGGAGUUUGUUGACUAGUAAGAAUAAUUAUUUAUCAACUUUCUCUUGUUUACUUGUUUCAUUUGUGAAUUAUUAUGAGAAAGAUAUAAACUUUGGUAUUAAAUUUGAUAUAUCUAGUUAAAUACUCUUGUUCUAGGUUUAGAUGCAGUUAUUUGUAUCUUAGUUACAGAUUGAUUUAUGAUUCAAUAUUACUAUAUCUUCUAUUUGUUGAUCUAUUUAUUCCAAACUUUAGCAUUUAUAGUUGUUUAAUCACUAAUUGCAGAUCAUCCAAUUGCUAUUAAUUAAUGAAAGUUGUUAGCAACAAUGAAAAAGGAAUAGAUAGAACUUACAGAGUAGGUACACGAAAAUAGUGGUAUUUCCUUCCUCCUUUAAUAUAAUCAUUUAACUUUAUGUGAUUAAAGUUCUUUACAUCCUAUAUUUGGGAUACCAUGGCUACUCCCAAAUACACAAUGCAAGAAAACUUCUAAUGAAAAUUCAUAAAAAUCAAGUAGUCAACUUGUUGGUCAGGAAUCUUUGAUUUCGAUCACUGAACUAUAUGUGAUUAAAAUUGUAGUUCACCAAACAUCAAAGAUGCUGUGGCUACUCUCAGACAGAUAGUGUGCUAAACUUUAUAAGAAUAGUAAAAUAGUCAAACAAUUAGUAUUUUGAUAAAAGAAUUUCUUAAUUUUCUUUUUUUAUAUUCAUUUUUAAAUCACCAAUCUUUAUGUGAUUAAAAUACCUUAUGCAUCAAAUAAUUGAGAUACAAGAAAAACUUUAUAAAGAAAAUUUUAUGAAGUUCAAAUGUAAUCAACUAUACUAAUGUUGGCGUCAUAAUAUGAGAUAAAUAAACAUAAAUGUAGUGCACAAAAAUAGUACAUAAUUCCAAAUAAUAAUAGGAACGUAGAGGCAAAACUAAUAUUGAAAUCAUGCCUUUAAAUAUUUAUCUCAUAAUAAAGCAGUAUAGAUUCAAUAAGCAUGCAGAUCCAUUCACAUAAAGUCAACAAAUUAUCUUGCAUAGAUUAAUAUAAUACUAAUCCUUUUGAUUGUUGAAUGAUACAAUAUAUUAUAAGUUUCCUAAAUGUAUGAUUGUUUGAUUAUUGCAACAUGUUAGAGUCUUGAAAUUAUACCACAAAUCUAAUUGGCAUAUGCAUUAAUGCAAUAUAUCAAUAUAGCCAAAACAUGCCUUGGCAUGAAAAAUGAAUCAAGCAGUCUGCAUGAUAUAGAUGUUCAGCCAACUUAAAUAUAAGAAUGUAAGAUUCAAAUGAAUUACAUACUGAUGGUUGAAUAACAACUCUUUGUAUGUUUCUCGGAUUGUUAUACUAUUGAUAACAACAAUCAAUACAUAUAACACUCACAAUCACAAAUGUGUAAGUCCAAGAAACAUUCAAAUUACUUGCAAGUCAAACUAGACUGUUGGAGAAAAUCUAAAUGAAUUGCAUAACCAAAUAAGAUAUCAUACGAAUGAUACAUUUGCAUGGGAUUAGUCAAUAAAUCUCAAUUAUUGUGAAAAUGAGAUCAUAGAUCCCAUGACAAAUUAAAUUCAGUUCGUUUAAACUUGAUACGAAUCUCUAAAACUUUUAUCAUAUUGCCAAUGAAUCAUAAAAGUUAUAAGCUGAACAACAUGGCUAGAUUUGGCUCUGAUACCACAUGUUAAACUAAUUAUGUACAUAUGAAUGUACUAUGCAGCGGAAAUCUAAAUAAACUUAUCUCCAACUAUUGCUGUCAAGCACAAAUUGAUCCAUCCUUGUCUCUUUGACUUCUUCUUGUCUAUUCCAACAAAACAAAAUAUGUAGAAGAAGAAAUUAGAGUAAGGAGCUUCUAACCUAUGCCUAACCAAGAAGAAAUUAGACUGCUGAUGGAAUACCAUAUGCUAUUUAUAGGCUAGACUAGGGACCCUUACUGGCAAUUAUCAAAAUCUCUAGGUUUCCUUUCAUCAAGAAAAUCUUGCCAUAAUCCAUAAACUUUUCUGACUAAUUGAUGGAUUUGAUUUGAUUGGUUAACUAAUUGAAUAAGAUAUCAAUUAGCAGAAGAUACCAAUCAAUCAUUAACAAAUGGGGGAUACUAAUUAAUUAUUAACAAAAUAUCAAUCAAUUAAUUAGAAUAUCAGUCAGUUUAAAAUCAAUCAUGUGGAUCAUAAUUGCCUCUAAAAGAGGCAAGUGUUACAUCUUGGUCAUAAAACUGAUUCUCAAGUUUGAUAUGAUGAAGGCCUUUGACAGUGUUUCAUGGACCUUUCAUGCUUCAUUGCAGCAACAAUUUGGUUUCUCUUAUUCGCUUUGUUACUUUAAUUCUCAAUAAUCUUUCAUUAGCUUGGUUUUCAGUUUUGGUCAAUGGGAAACCGCGUGCUUCUUCCAAGCAUCACAAGCGCUUAAGCAAGGAGAUCCUUUCUCUCCUUUCUUGUUUAUCUUGGCGUUAGAAGCCAAAAUAUUUUAGUGUCUUCAGGCAAAGUUACCUCAUUUGGUUUACCAAGAAACUGUAUUUCGAUAUCUCAUUUAAGCUUUGUGGACGAUUUUGUUAUUUUUACUCGAGGUUAACGCAACUCUAUUAAAGCUCUUAUGGUUUUUCUAGAUUUGUAUCAAAGAGGUUCUAGUCAAUAUUUAUUUCUUCUAAAUGUUUGGAUGCAAAUGCUAGAUUGCCAGCUCAAUUUACAAGUAUUCAAAGGAAAGAUCUCCAUUUUGUUUACCUUGGUUGUAUGCUGUUUAAGGAGAGGAAGAAAAUCUCUCAUUUUCAACACCAUAUAAAAAAUAUGAAUGCUAAAUUUACUGGCUGGAAAGACAAGGCUUUUGUCAGUGCGUGAUAGAAUGGUUUUAAUUGUUGUGUUAGCCAUUCUUUUGUAUACAAUGGCUUUUAUGGAACCACAAAGGCUAUCCUUUCCCUGUAGAGUAUAAUAUCCAAAGUUCUUCUAAGGUGAGAUGAUGGUAAGGAUUCUAGACAUUGGAUGAGGUGUUCUCAGCUGUGGUAUCCCACUGAAGAAAAUGGCUUAGAUUUUUCCAUAUUAGAUGAUUUGUUGGUUGCUUUUAUCUAUAAACUAUAGCAGAAAAUCCUCACAUCAUCAUGUCUUUGAGCCCGUUUUAUGUUUGCCAAGUAUACUUUGACCAUAUUACUAUUGUCCCGCCCUAGUCCUUUUUGCCAAGAACUUGGAAGGUAUGCUAUGAGUUAGAGCAAUAGUUGAAGAGAACUCUACAAGUGUUCUUGUGUGAUGGUCGUAGGUUAUUCUAGUAUGACGAUUGAUUAAGUUCAGGGUCUCGUAUAACUCGAUAAUCCUCCGCUGCCGCUGCCAAACAUGGUUCAAAUGCGUGGUCGCUGUUGCGGUCGUGAUCCGGACUGUUCCACAUCGGUCUCAGCAUAUCGGUUACGGUCUCAGCGAGAAGUAAAAUUUAAAAAAUUUAAUAUUUUAAAAUUGUAAAAAAAAUAUGAUAAACAAAAAUAAUUAAAAAAUUAGCAAAAAUAAAAAUAAUUCAAAUUGAUAUGGGAUGACUAGAACGAUUGGACCAUUUUUAUCCGUCUCGGAGUCGUUUCGGCCGAGUUCUCGGCGAUCCAUUGUUUCAAAAUCAUCUCGUCCUGGUACUGGAACGGAAAGCCGCGUUCCGGUGACAACUUGACCGAGUCUUUGAACCAUACUACCAAAUGCAACAAUCGGUGAUAUUUUUGUAUAUAGAGUUUGGCAUUUUCAAAACAUUGAGGAUAUUCUUACCUACUCCAAAAAAUUGUGGACAUUAAAUACUCUAGUUCACAUCAUGCAAGGUCAAGAUGCUAUAAUCUUCUACCCCUCGAUGAGUGGCUUUUUAAAUGUCUCUUCAACUUUGAACCUUCUUCAGCCUUCAAGGAGUCAUUUUAAUUUCUCCUGAGGUUGAUCUGGAAUCAGAGUCUCUCUCUGAAAAUCUCAAUUUUCUGCAGAGAGAAGGUCAAGAUACUAUAAUCUGGAACCCCUCGAUGAGUGACUUUUUGAAGGUCUCUUCAGCUUUGAACCUUCUUUGGCUUUCAAGAAAUCCUUUAAUUUCUCCAAGGUUGAUCUGGAAUCACAGGCUCUCUCUCAAAAUCUCAAUUUUCUACAGAGAGUUCUUAAUUGCUUACUUUUUUUUCCUGAUAUCUACAUGCAAUUUGGUUUCAACUUUCCAUCCAAAUGUUUGUUUCGCAGAUGUGAGGAAAACUGAAAUCAUUUUUUUAGAAUGUGGUACAGCUUCAUUUGUUUGGUAGAGAUGUGCAACAAGCAGAAAGUGGCUUCAAGUAGAACCUUCAUUGAGAGAAAUGAACUGAUAGAUGUGGGAUAUUAAGGAAUUCCAUGGAUUUGAUGUAAUAGGUGGGAGAAAGGAGCGAAAAUCAAACAAAGACGGGUAGAUGUCCUGGCUUUCAGGCUUAGUGUCAAAUCUUUGUAAAUACAAAAAAUGAUCACAUACAGAAAGAAGCAUAUUACUAACUCAUGCUGUUGAACACCAACCCUGAGAUGAGGAGAGUGAAAAAGAAAAUUUUGAUUUGACAAAAGAUGGACCACUAAUAGAGGGGGCAAAAAAGAUCAUUAGUAAGUCCUAGAAUGAAGAACAACAAUCGUCUUCUAAUAUAUGAAUUGCUGCAGAUCCUUUCUAUUCAUGCUGCAAUUGCCAUAGACUGACUUUGCUGAAUUGGAAUAGCAAGGUCAAGAAUAACCCAGGAGUUAAAAUAAAGCAGUUGGAAGAACAAAUUGCACAAGUCAUAGGGAACAAUCAUGAAGGGAAAAAAGAAAAGAUAGUAGAACUCAAAACCCAGCUAGGUAGGGCAUACAAGGAAGAAUGGAUAUUUUGAAAACAUAAAUCAAGAAAGAAAUGGCUCAAAAAGAGUGACAGGGAUACUGCCUACUCCAUGCAAGUGUAGGUAUUAGAAAAAGAAUGAAUAGACUUUCCAAAUUGCCAAAAGUUGGGGGUGAUUGGUGCAAUAAUGAUCAGGAACUGAAAAAAGAACUAUGUCCAGAAUCUCUUCACCUCAUAUCAACCAAGAGCGGUACAUGAAGUGUUGGAAGAUGUUUCUUACUCAAUACCAAGAUAGAUGAAUAACAAGCUGACUAAACAUGUUGAAACAGAACAAGUCAAAACUAAACUUUUUUUCAAUGCAUUCUACAAAGGCCCUUAGGCCGAAUGGUAUGUCUCUAUUAUUCUUUCAACAUUAUAGCAUAUUAUGGGUGUGAAUGGUAUGUCUCUAUUUCUCUAUUAUUCUUUCAACAUUAUAGCAUAUUAUGGGUGUGGAUGGUAUGUCUCUGUUAUUCUUUCAACACUGUAGCAUAUUAUCGGUAUGGAUGUUGUUAAAGCUAUUCAAAGUUUCUCUCAUAGUAGAUAUGUGCUUAAAUCUUUAAAUGCAAUUUUGGUUACUCUCAUUCCAAAAAUUGCUGCACCCAUCAACCUUUCUAACUACAGACCUGUUAGUCUUUAUAAUAGUCUGUACAAGAUUAUUGCUAAUCUUUGCAAUAGCGACUAACUAGUUAUUCAUUCGUGUAUUUGCACACGCGUACUUUUUAUCUUCUAUAGUUUUUUCUCUUUCACUUUCUUAAUGAAUAUUGAUACCAAAGAACCAAAUUACUAAGUAAAAGUAUUGAAGUUAAACACUAUAAAAAUAAUUAAUUCAUAAAUAGGAUAUUCAAUUUUGCUUCCUUUAAUUAUUGGUGCAAAACACAACAAUUACAAAAAUUAAGUAAAGAAAGUUGGUAGAAAAACUAGGAUUGAUUCUUGUUAAAAAAAAACACUAAAAUCUGAGGAAAUAAAUUGUAAGAUAUGUACACAUGGCAAAAAGAUAGAGCUUUCAUUUGGUAUAACAAGAGAGUAGUAAGUGAACAACUUAACAUGUAGUAAAUUGAACAACAAAUUAUUAUAUGAUAUAUGAUAUAAUAAAAUAUGAUAGAUUCAUUAACAAUUUAUGACUAAUGUAUUGAAUUUUGUAAUAUCUAAAACUAUUAAAAUUUUUAAUAAUAGGAUUUUAUAGUAAAACCAAAUAAUAAGAAUAGAAAAUGUGAUAAGAAAAGAAUUAAAAAAUGGAAAUGGAAAAAAAUACUAUCAAAUAGUGACUGUACAGCGUAUUAUUUUACAUACAUACAUGUGUGUGAAUAAAAAAAAUCAGUUUACAUAGAUGAAAUUGGAAUCAUAACAAUAGUAAAGUGGAAUAGAAUUAUGAAGUGAUAAAUCAGGACCAACAAAUAUGUCCCUGAUCGGCCUGACAUGCACUACUAUACGUAGAUGAGUAGGCAAAAAAUCAGGACCGAGAAUAGAGACACACCCUACUGUAACAAACAAAUGGGAAGCAAUGAAAGCUUGACCAAUGCAUGGACACUUCUCCAAACGUUAUUAGAAGUAUUUGGAAAACCUUAGAGGCUUCCAACUCAUUUUAGGUUGUUCAAGAACCUUGUAGAAUAACCUAAAACUUUGCAUAUAAGAAUUUGUCUUGUAUAGAAGAUUUUAGAGACUAAAUGUAGAAAGACUUAGUGUAGAAUUCUCUAACAUCUUGUAAAGCUUUCUUGUCUUGUCUAUAAAUAGUUGCUAGCUUUAGAUUUAUAAAGACCAUGACAUCAAAUUUCAAGGUUAAACAGAAUUACAUUAGAAAAAGCUAGCAUUUGUGCUUUUUAUUUCUACAGAGAACUAUCAAGCCAUACAACUUAACAAAGUGAAACUAUCAUUAUAUUUUCCUAAAUUAUAUGUAAAUGAGGAAGUUAACAAGACGCUAAAAAGUGCAAAAAAAAAGUUCCACCUUGACUCUUGUCUGCUGCCACCACUCUUCUUCAAUCUCUUCCACCAGAAUACAAGAGCUACAUAGAAACCAUGGCUGCUCGUCUUCAAUCUCUUCUACCAGAAUACGAGAGUUACAUAGAAAUGUGGGGUAAAAUUUUGCCCAAGAAGGGGGCUUCCCAACGCCAACUUGCUUCCUGUUUUGGAAUUGGAACAUCCCCUCCGCUGGCUACUUUCUAAAGCCCAAGGACUAGUAUUGGGAUUUCACCACCUAGUCAACCUAGCAGCAGUGGUACCAAGCCUAAACAUAAAUAUACCCAUAUCUGGCUACCACUCUAGAUUAGAAGCCUCUCUUUUAUUGAUAAGAGCAAACUAUCUAGUAAGGACUAUUGGGAGAAACCUCCUAAAGGAUAUGGCUGUUAGUUUACCCCAUUUUGUUUGUUUGUUUACUUUAUUUUGCUGGUUUAGAAUAGUUUGAUGUUUGUUCUUUUACUUUAUUUUAUUUUGUUUGUUCAAAAAGUAUGAUCUAGGAAGCAAAGUUGUGAAAGGAAAUGAAACAGUCAACAUGCAGUAAAAAACUUGACAGCAAAAAUUUACACAAAAAAAAUAAAUAAAUGUUUCUUGCACCCCAUUUGAGGAAAUAGACUAGUAUGAUGAUAGUUUGUUAUCCCUAAAAUUUGGGGAAAUAUAUAUAUCCCAGUAUGAGUAUGUCUUGGAUUUCGGAUUCAUUCUUGUCCUGAUCCACCCUAGGAGAGGGCUCGUAAUGAUCUUCUCAAAGAUCACAAGGUGCUGAAGCGAUUAGACUUAACAUAAAUGUAGUCACUAGAGCCAUUCUAAAAACGGAGAAAUUAGCACUACUUGGUGAAAUAGGUUCUUUUAGAAUCAAUUUCAAACCAUCUGCUAGAAGUUGUAACAAUUCAAACGAUCCCACUACAUCAGGACCCUUAUAUAUAUAUAUAUAUAUACAUGCUAUUAUAUAUUUGGUGAAUUCUUAUUCUAUCCUUUUGUCUAGAUUUUUCAACCUGAAUACAGACAUAUCCUUUAAUCCAGCAGGAGACCAAGGUUAUGGAGUGGGGGUGCUGAGAGAUGAAUAUGGGAAUGUGAUCGCAACAUUCUACUACAAACAUGUGGGUUAGCCUGAUGACACCACUCUAGUAGAGAUGACUGCCAUGUCUGAUCUCCUCGAACAAGCCCAUGACUAUGCAGUCCCAAAUGAGGUUGAGUGAUAUACACCUUAUUCUCGAAGGUGACUACAGAGAUGCGAUAUUAGCAUAUGAGAACUACAAAAGCGAUUUCAGACUCCUACUACUGCUGACACUAAAGGGAAAGGGAAGGAAAAACCCCCAAAAGCCUUUCAUAAGUAUUGCGGGUAAUGAUGUCAAAAGUCUGCAUAAAUAAUCUGCUUUUGUUACGUAAAUACUUAAAGGUGGCUUACUUACAUCUGAUUUUCUCAAGCGUAUCCUGAAGAUUGAAGGCAAGUGUACCACACUGUAUGUGAUUAGCGUAAAAAGAGCUCAAAAUAGGUUAGCAAAUUUGGAAGCGAAGCAUAAAGCUGUCAAGAUUGAUACAACCAAUUUUGUGUCCCAAAAACAAAUAUACUUGAAAAAUUCAAGUGAGGCUGGGGUUAUGAAAUUAAAAGAAAAGCAAGACUAGGGGAGGUGAAUGCGUUCUUCUGCUCUUCUUAGUGUUUGUAUGUCUGUUAUCAUCAUAGCAAUAGAAUGUCCAAAGAAAGUAGUAGAGGGCAAAGGCCACAUUGUGGAUCAAUAGUUUCGAGUUCUUAUGUUUGGCCAUUGGCAAGCUCUCCUCUUGUUUAAUAUUUUAUUAUUCUUUAUUAUGGCAUUCUAUGUGUAUAUCUCAUUUGGUUUUUUCCCAAUUGGUAGGCUGUAUAAAGCAAUCAAAUCCUUUUAUACUUGUUUAUUAGUGUCAGUAAAUUUUCACCUUUUUUUUUGGAUUGUAGCAAGUGUAAAGAUAUUUAAUCAAAAAGCAACUUUAAUUCUUUUACAAGAUGGAAUAAACUAGUACUUUAAAUAACUCCUACUUUUGAAGAUUGAAAGCGUUACCCUAAACUCUGGAAGCUGGCAUUAGCCAUAAAUAGGGACCAAUCCUCACACAGUAGUUUCUACUUUUUUCUGUAUCGUGAGCGGCGAGACCAGAAGUUAAGGUUUGUUAGCCAAAGUUGGCAACCAGGAACUAGAAAAUCCUGGACAAGUUGAAGUAGUUGCGCUAUCAGCCAACAUUUCAUAACUAGAGGAAAGCGUUGAUCAUAGAAAGAUACAGUGCAAGAAUUAGGAAAUGAUAACCACUCUUAAAAUCAUUGGACAGUUGAUGCACCCUAAAACAUCCUUCUUAGCUGAUCUACUAAGUUACUUGUACCUGUUGCUGUGCAGGCUAGUUGGCUCUAAGUUACAAGGAAAUUGAAGAAAACUUCCUUGUUAACCUUUGUAUAUGCUAUUAGCAACUUGAAGGACUGCCUAUCUCAAACUCAAGAGGAUCAUUUCACGUUGCGAACAUCGAUCAUAGAUGUCUUUACUAUGUCUUUAACUAGUAAUCAUGCUGAAUCUAUCCUCGGCUUUAUGAACAGUCCUCUCAUACUCUCUAACUGCUUCAGCUGCUAAAAAUGAUUUGUUUUCUGCUUCAGCAAUCCUAUGUGUGGCAUUGUUUUUUCUUGUUUUGAUCUAUGUCUAAAUUCUAGCUUAAAUGCAUUAUUUUUUGUUCUUUGAUUAUAGCAUCACUGUAUACUGCUUUCAUUGGAUUGUGCCAUGAAUGCUUGAUUGGGAUUACUAAAACAAUGACUUAUUGGUUUUUCCUUUGAUUUUUUCUUUUUUUACUUUUUAUGCAGAAAUUGCACAUCUUCUCAUGGCCAAUAGGAGGUGAAGACAUUGGAUCAAUAGUAGAGGCUUUUCUUUUAGCAUGCAUUUGGUUGUUCAUUUUAGACUGUUUUGAGUAAUUUAUCUUUGAAAAAUGAAUCUGCUAAUAGAGAAGAAAACUUGUAUUUUGGUUAGUAUUGUGUCGUGUGAUGAUGGAAUGUUUGGUGUCCUUGUAUUAGCUUCCAGCUAGUGACAUAUUAAGCCAAGGAGUGUCUGUUUCUGUAGGUGCAACUGUUAUCUUGUCAAAGAGAUUUAAGUUCUGAGAGCAGAAGAUCAGUGUUGGAAGCAGUUACUAGGAAUAUGAUAGAAAUCUUAUUAAUCGAUGUUGAUUAGCUGGCUAAUGGUUGUUGCUCUCCAGCUUCUUUAAGCUGAACAGCAUUGGAUCAUAUUCCUCUACAUGGCGGCCUAGCUAAAUUAUGAAAAAACCUUUUUUGGACGCUUUUUUAUUUAUUUAUUUGGUAAUAUCUUUUAUCAAGUCAUUGAGGCAGAGGAGCUGGCUGUGGCAAAAGCUUAUAGGCAGGAAAAUGCUUCUUUAAAGUCUGACGGCUUUGCAUUCUGCACAAGUCUCUUUGAGACAUGCUUUAAAUAUUGAAAUACACUAUCAGAAGCAAAAGUCUCAUGGUAAGUGGUUGGAAUAGGGAGAUAGGAAUACUAAGUACUCGAAAUCCAUCAGUGCUUAAACAAGAAUGUCUCAGUCUAUAAUUCAUUAGAUUAAAAUGUAGAUGGUGAUUGGAUUUUUGCUGAACAGGACAUCAGGGAAGAGGCUGUUCAUUUCUUUCCUACUUUGUAUACCUCAAGUCAUACUAAAAUUGAUUAGAGGAGGACAAUGCUCACUUUGAACACAUUCCUUAUUUGGAAAAGAUUAAAAAGGCUAGUUUUUGACAUUGAAGGGGAUAGCACUGUAGGGCCAGAUGGCUUUACUGGAAAAUUCUUUAACUGCUUCAUGAGAGGUUAUUCUAGAGAAUUUGUAUAUGACUGUGGUAUCUUUCUUUUGUGGUGAUAGCUUGCCUUGCUCUACUACAUCUACUUUGAUAGUCCUGAUUCUAAAAGGGUUGAAUCCUUGUGACUUUAUCCAAUUUUGUGCAAUAAGUUUGUGUAAUUUAUCAACAAGAUUUUUUUUUUCCAGAACCUUGGUUGAUAUGCAGUCUGACAAGCUUCACUGAAUUAUUUUUUUGUAGUGAAGUUGUUUCAUCAAAGGGCGCCAUUUUUUUGAUAAGUUCCUACUUGCUCAAGAAAUGCGUCCUAGUAUUGCUAGGACAAGUGGGGGACGUAAUGUAGCUUGAAAUUAGACAUAAUUAAGGCCGAUUAUAGCGUUUAAUGUCUUUUUUUCAUUCAGAUUCUUCAGACCUUUGGUUUUGGAAAGAUCUGUAUAAAUAUAGUCUGGAGACUCUCUUUUUUUCCUUUCCGAAUUCAUCAUUUCAUUGAUUGUUAAUGGGUCUUGAAUCACGACUUUUUAAAUCAUCUAUGGGGUUUCAUCAUGGAGCCCCAAUAUCUCCAGCCUUGUUUUUUUUAUUAGUGCAGAGGUUCUUUCGAGAGUUUUCCUUCUUGUUCUGGUUUCAAGGUCCCAGGGCAUAUGUCCUAUGGUUUCUCAUCUAGUGUUUGUGUAUAAUGUCCUAGUUUUCACUACUGCUUCAGAUUCAUCUUGCGGCCUAUCAUGGAGAUUCUACAUAAUUGUGAACGUGCAUCUAGGCAGAAAAUUAAUGCAUCAAAGUGUGGUUUCUAGCUCAUCAAGGACUUCCUGUGGUUGGGCAUAAUGUGACAACUAAUUUUUGACAUAUUUUUCGUACAAAUAAUUUUCUGUUAAAUACUUGGAUGUCCUCUUUUUUGUGAUCACCAUGGUGAACUAUGUUAGACAGUUAUGCAUGAGGUCCAUUCUUGGAAGUCUUGUUUGCUUUCUGCUGGGGGAACUUAAAUUGAUAAAAUGCGAAUUCAGCUUCUAUUCCAAUUUAUAUCUUAGCAGUUGCAGAUCCAUCUGUAUUAUCUAUGCAUAAACCAAGUUCGGGUGCUUGGUGCUUGUGCAAAAAAAGUAAUUAAACUUUUAAUUGAAGUUAUGCAUCAUCAAUUCAGACUUUUCUUUUCUUUUCUUUUUUUGAAAAAAAAAGUUUACAUGGGCAGUAUAAGUUAUGCAUCAUCAAUCCAGACUCAAUGCAACAAAGUUUUAUAUGGGUAGUGUAAGUUAAAUAACUAUUAUUCAAACUUGUAAGUUUCACCAAGUCUAAUUGUAUUGAACAUCUAAAAAGUAGAUUACAAUUUUUUCUUGAAAUGUUGAACUAUACAUAUACUAAAAUUUAAUUGUAUUUUUUUUUGAAUUAUAAAGUAUAUUAGGAUGAUCCUAAUUUUGGACUGUUCAAACAUCCAAUGAUUUAUUGCCACCUAGACUUCCCUAACUAUUCUAACUUGACUUUGCUUUUCAUUUUCUAUAAAAAGUAGUCUUUUGAUGCAUAUCGUUUCUUUUGAAGUAGUACAAUACAUAGUAAGCUGAUGUCACAGUUUACACAAACCAAUUGUACGUAUUUUCUAUUCAUGAUUUUCAAUUCAUGCAUUUGGUUCUAUUUCUAGUACAUUAUUCAAGAAGCACAAGAGGCCAUAUCUAUAACUUUCAAUUUUACCAUUUUUUUUCUCGUUUUAGUUGCUAAUAAAAUACUUAUUCGCUUGGAUAUGCAGGUUCAAACUUCUUCAACAAAACAUCCGUCGUUGAAGCUAAAAUUUAUCUAACUAAUCCAAUAAAUGGUAGAAGUUCAAUGAGAGGGGAACCACGCUUUCCAUUUUAUAGUUUACAACCCCUACUCAUUUUAGAAACUCUGCAAUUAAAUUAUCUAAAUAAACAAAAAUUAUUUACAGAAAAUUAGAAAACACAUUUUGACAUUAGUAAGUUAAGCAAAGCACUUACAUGUGUAUGAUGAUAUUAAGUUUAAUAAUCAUCAAUGUGGACCAAUAAAUAUUUUGACCUUUUUUUUUAAUCUAUUGGCUAUUGUUUGUGCACUAUUGAAUAUUCGCAUAAAGUUUAUUUAUUACACCAUCUAGGAGUCACACUCUAAAAUAUCCAUAAGUUUUGGGAUAAUACCAAAAAAUAGUAAAUUAAAUAGGGAAUCGGUAGUGGAGAUGGAUACCAAUGAUAGGUGACAGAGCUUUUUGGUGAUAGAUGUCGAGUGGUGGGAGAGAGACAAUGUUUUGAGUAUUUCAAAUAAAUACCAACGAGCGUGUUAGAUGGUUUUUUUUUUUUGGUAUUUAUGUAAAAUUUUACUGUAACUUACUGUAAAAUUUUUACAAAUUUUUUUUGUCUAUUUAAAAGUAUUGGAGAAUAUUUAUAAAACUCUAUCAUCUCCCAUGCCCCACUCAACAUGGAUGCCACGUCCAACAUCAACCACCACCACCCUCCCCCACUUGUAACCCUCACCACCUCUCCCACGCCCGCUAUCACCCUUCUUCUCCUUCUACUUGUCAUCCCUCUUCUCCUCCUCCUUUUCAAUAUACUCUUUCUUUCUCCCUCUCCCUCUUCUCCUACCACCCCCUUUCCCCAUCUCCUCUUCUACCCCACCCCUCAUUCAUCUUUUUCGCCUCCCACCACCAUCCUCAUUCCCUCUCUUCUCUCUCCUACAGCCCACUGCCAUCCUUCUUGUUCAUUUUUUUUCUCUUCUCCUCUUUCUUUCCCCUUUUCCUCCCUUCCCAUUCUCAUGACUCUCACCCUCUCCUUUGUUUGAUUUAGAGUAGAUCAGGCAAGAGAAGGAAGUUACGAGUCGGGUGAAGAGAGGAUGAAGAGAGGAAAGAAAGGGAAAAAGGAAGGGAGAAAGAAAAAAAAAAGGAGUAGGAGAUUGUGGUGACAGUAGAAAGGGGGGAAAAAGGAAAAAAACUUUGUGAAAGAUAGAGGGGUUGGCAGCAGUAGGGAGAGAGUGAAGAGAUAGGGAGGAGAAAGAGGGAUUAUGGUAGUGGUGAAAGCGCUGGGGAGAAUGACGUGGAGGGUGGUACUAGUGGUAGAACGGUGUGGGUAAUUUUUUAAUUUAUUUUUUACAUUGGAGUAUAUCAAAGAUUUUGUGAGCGUUUUUAGAGGGUUACCAUAGGUAAAGCUGUAAAGAAAAUUUAUUUAUUAAAAACAUAGAAAGAAUAGGGAUGCUAAACGGACUUGACAUUUUUUCUAAAAUAACUUUAGUAAGUUACAGUAAACUUUUAGACAAACAUUAAAAAAAUAUACAAUCCAAACGGACUCAAUGAUAAGAGCCUAAAAAUGUGCUAUAGCAUAGAACCACUUCUGUAAAAAAAAAAAUGCAGGGCAACUUUUAAAGUGCAAACUACAAUGAAACACACAUGAAUAGAAAAGGAAGAAUCAAAACACUCACCAACAAUACACAAAUGAGUAAAGUCUUGGAAAAACUUUAUGCUGCUUGUUAGUCAAUAAUUUCAUGGUUUAUGCAGGUGGAUUCCUAUGCUUAUCUUCCUCCAAACUCAACUCAUCACUUGAAUUGUGAGGCAAUAGCAACUCUUGUUGUAUUUUUUUCCUACCAAACGUUAUAUUAUUAUUCAAGCUGCCCAAGAGUACUGUCGCGCCCCAUUUUUUACAAGAAAAAUAAAUAAAUAAAUAAAUGAAUUUUUAUUUGAAAAAGGAUUUUUGAUUUAAAAAGAAAAUGGGCCUAAAUGGGGUUUGUAAUGCGACGAUUUGACCCAAAAUAUAGUUUAAAAAAGGGUUUAUUCAAUGAAAAAUGGAGUCGCCACUUGGUAUAGAGUUAAGGUGUACCAAGUCACCUAAAAAUGAAUUUUUUAAAGGAAAAAGUAGAAAAAACCCCUUUUAAACAACUCCUUGUCCACGUAAACCAACAAAAAAGGUUCGGGAGUCACAUUUGAAGAGAGGGAAGGCAAGGACGAAGUCCAAGGCACCCUCUCAACCUAGCCAAGGCUAGUUGCGCGAUUUAGUCAAGAAUUUUCUUAUUUUAACCAAAAGAUUUAUCACAUUCGGAUGUACUAUAUGAAUGCAAACCCUAGACCUAGGGAGACAUCGGGGGCAAAAUUUCUCUUCAAAGCUGGAAUGAUGCCAUUCACAUUAAUUGUGAUGCCCAAUAAUGACUCUUUGGAGAGGUCACGAAUAAUGCUAAUGACGUGAAAUGAGUGGAAUGAAUGUAUGCAAUGUGAAAAUUUGAGUUUGUGUGAAGUGGAAAAGUAAUAUAAAAAAACAAUGGUGUGUAAGUGGAAGUGUGCAAAUGGAUGUACAAAGUAAGGUGAGUAAAGUGAUAGUAUGAAGUGCGUGUGUGCACGUGAUAUUAUAUAAAGUGCUAGGGGUAGAGUGAGAACGUGCAAAAUAAAAGUUGUGUGAAGUGAAAAUGUGGAAAAAUGGAUAGAAUAUGAAGCAAAAGUGCAUGCGAUAGCGGAUAAAUGAAAUGCAUGAACCCUAGAGGAAUGCAAGCAAGACGGGUACGGGGAACUAAUGUUCGUGACUCGAUUUUCCUUUUAAUAGAAGGAAUACGGGCGUGCUAAGGUUAGAAAAGCCAAACUCGUCCAUAUCUCAUAUCCAAAGGGUUCCCUAAUCUAAUCAAGCAAAUGCCCUAUCCUAAUCCUAUUUCUAGAAUGAAAUGCAAUUCUAAUGUCAUGUAUCAUGCAUAGGGGUAUAUAUAUGUAUAGGAAAAUUAGGGAUAAGGGUUAUACGUAUAAGGGGAAUAUCAUACAAAAUGAUAAAAGGCCCUAAAAAGUGAAAAUAUGCAUGAGAUGGUGUGAUUUUACCACGCAAUCAUGAUCUAACGUGCGAGGGGCUCCUAAGGGUCUAGCAUUGGACUAGCCCACAUCUACGCUCUCUCGCAAGUAUUGGACUUGCAAGAGCUCGAGUGGACAACCAUGACUAGCAUUGGACUAGCCACGGUUACAUGCAUUUGCAUCCAUCAUACACAUAUAUAAGUAAUAUGCAUAAUUAAAGCAAGUAGACAUGUGAGCACGUAAUUCACAUAACACAUAAGCAUGCAUAUCUAGAUGCUAAAACCUAAGAAACCGAUUAAAUACAUAGCACAUAGACAUGCAAAACACCCAAGGCAAUCAAGGCCCUAACUAUUACAUUUUAGGGGGAAGGCCUACUACAAUCUAAAAGGGGAAACGAAAAAUAAAUGAAAUAAACCUAACUAUUACAAUUUGGCAUUCAAGUGCUUCCCAAAUGAUAAAAUUGGACUAAAAUUUAAGCAAAAACUAAGCAAACUAAAGAAAUAAAUAAAGUAAAAAUGAAAUAAACACUUAAAGCCAUGCAAAUUGCACACAUAAAACACAUAUACGCACGUAGGGUCAAAUAAAGUCAAAAAUAAAGGAUAAGGUGUACCUCCCUUGAGUUGAAGCUCUAAUGGGGUGAAAAAUUACUUAUUUACCCUCCAAAACGAAGAAAAGGGUCAAGGCAUCACUUAAUUAACAAUUAACGAAAUGGAAAUUAAACACAAAAAUAACGAUUAAACAAAGGAUAAGUAUUUACAUAAACUAGCUCAUCUAUAUUUAAGAAUUACAGCGAAUUAAAAUAAAAGGGCUUCAAAGUUCUAACAUAAAAAAAAAAUCUAUCACAAUCAAAUGCAAAAAUUUCACAAGGAAAAGAAUAAGAGACCGUUUCCUAUGUUAAACGACAAAACUUCCAAGACUCCACUAAAAAUUCAAAUUAGGAUUAUAAAGUUACCAAAAACAUCAAAUCUUCACAAUCUUAUCCCAAGAAUCAUAUAUCAAUCAAAAACCAGAUUUUUAUGGGACCCAAUUGACCAGUUUUCCUAAAUUUCCAGGUCAUAGUAUAACAAAAAGGGACUUGGGGGUUUAAAGUGUAAUUUUCGAUAACCGUUUCAUGCAUGCAACGAGAACUGAAGCCUUCAUUACUUCUGCAAUUUUCGUAUGAAGCUUUCUGCAACUUUAAGCUUUCAAGAUGCGGAUUUCAUUCAAGACUUCAAACAAAAUUCAGCCAAGACCAUCACUCGACACCACCUAAUAGCUAGACAUUAUGAUUAACGCGAUCCAAUCAUGAACACUAAACCAUUAAACAUCAAAUGAAGACAAGUGAAGAACCGGAUAGAGGAAGUGGGCAGCGGCAGAAAAACAGAAUCAGCUAUCAUUUUUCUGCAACAUCAUUUCAUUUCACCGGAGUGCCAACGCAGCUAGACCUCAAAAGUUUGUAUCAAGAAAAGACUGGUGUAUCUUGGUGACUUAGCCAAAUGUGAUUACCCGAACAUAACGUUUAACCACAUUCAAAACACAGACGAACUGGAGCUCGUGACUCAUAAAAAAUUGCAGCAGAAAUAACGAAUAGAUGGAGCUUUCCUCCAAUCUACUGGGUUUGCAAAGCAAGUUUUCCUUGUCUGUCCAUGAGUGAAAUUUCUACCAAACAUAAAGCAUUGGUCUUUAAGCAAUGAAAACACGGCAAGGCGACCAUCAAUCAUGCAACUCUUUCUAUGACUCCGGGAGUUCGACAGACACAAACUUCCUUUUUAUUCAAUCACCUAACACUUCACCCAAUCAAAACUAGAAACGAAAGGCUCAGAACACAGGUUUUCCUUUGCAUUUUCGAGACAAAACCAUGACAUACAAAGAUUCCAGAAGAUCGUGUAUGCUUGGGAACAGAGAAUUGGAAUGGACACUCACAUAGUUUACCAGCCAAAAUGAUGAAUGAUUACAGACUUGCUUCAGACAAAUCGAAAAUGUCAGAAAACAAGACAAAGCGCAAGUUCCAAAUAUUUAAGAUCCUAAAUGGUAAAGCUCGAGACAAGAAGGAAGGGGACAUCCAGCAAACUUUCGGGCACCAAAUGCAACAAAAUGACUGGAAUGUCUACUAAACUUGGACCCAACAUCGCAGCCGACCAUCACAUAAAACAAACGUCAAUCAAAAACGCGACUUCAGCCACCAUGAAGCAAAAACAACAAAACGAAGCUCGAAACAAAGGAUAAUCAGGAACAUCAGUAUCACAACCCUUUCAAAUCCAUAUCUGCAAUGCUUCAACACAAACCCCAAAGCCAUAAAAAUCCAAUCUUUGGGCCCAUCAGGAAAUCACAGAAGAAGAAACCGCAGAUGGCAUCCAUUUUAUUUUUUUGUAUGAAGGAGAGGAAGCACGAAAGCUAACAAGUUUUAUAAAAUACACUAGUUCUAAACAUAGCCACUGGAGUCAUAACUUAUUCACCCGAUCAUGCCCAGCAUACAAUCAUUAAGAUCUGGGGUUUCUAACUCACAAACAAAGGACAAGAUUCGGUAAUUUAAAGGAAAGAAAACGCAACUUACAGUGAUGGUGCUUCCUCUCGGUGAAAGUGAUGACGAUCAGGAGGAUUAGCAACUCCGAUGACUCUUUUGCUGACUCUUCUUCCUUGGUCGACGCUGUAAUCGUUCGGUUUCUCUCCCGUUUCCUCAAUUUGUUUCUCUCUUUUGCUACUGUUUUCACUCUUUUCUUCAGCCCUCCCUCCCAAAACCUUUUCCAACUCCUUUUUCUUUUUACCCUAGCCGUCUGUUUUUCCUUAAACCCCAGCCGUCCUCCCAUUUUCUGAACCCUUAGCUUUGCUUUUAUAUCCCAUCCAAACCCCUUAAACCUCAUCUCAAUGGCUCUAAACAACCUCAGCUCCCUCCCUUAUUGUUAGCCAUUGAUUAUGGCUUUUAAUGGGAGCACUUACAUGGAUCUCGCUGGCCUGUACUUACCUCAUCUAACGGCACCAGAAAAAAACAGUGACGAAAAUAGAAGAAAGGCAAGAAAACGCAGAAGUUGUCUUUUUUUUUAAUCACUUAAUUAAAUAACACUAAUACAAAAUAACAAUUUAAACAAACUUAAAUAAAAUGUACAAAAACUAGUAACAAAAGAUAAAACAAAAACUAAGAUUUUUCUUGUGCUUGAUUGAUGAUUUUUUUCCUUUUUUUUCCGAUUAAUAAACAAUAAAAAGAAAUGAAACUUAUUUUCAUGAAUAAUUUUCUCUUUUACCAAAUUUUAUGCUAAAAAGUCUUGUAAUAAAAAUAAACAGCUAAAGGGGCAAAACGAAUACAAAAAUAAAAAAUAAAAACUAAAAAUAAAAUAAUAGAUCAUAAUACUAAUCUGAAAACGCUAUACAAAUGCUAAAAAAAGAAAAUCUAAACCAAAAUCAUGAAGUUAACAAAUAAAAUAGAUGAGAAUUAUCACUAAAAGCAAAAAUAAAAAUAGAAUAAAAAUUAUUUAAAAUUUGGUGUCUACAAGUACAAUGCAGGGAGGAGGGCCGCACCUUACCUCUGAAAUGAGAAGCGAAAAUUAAAAAAAUUCUGCAUAUCCAGUGCCAGUAACCCUUUAGUGCGACACGGUAAUUGAGAAGCCCUAGUAUAAAGCUCGAAGGACCCACAUGCAGUAUCGUAGGAAGCCAGUGAAUCAGUCACAGCAUUCCCCUCCCUGUAGCAAUGCUUGAACUGAUAAUACUCUGGCAUAACAUACCGAAUGGCAUGCACGACAGGACAAAUGACCACUGGACCUGCCCCUCCCCCCCGUAAACAAUUGAUCAAGAUAAGGCAAUCAGAUUCAACAAUUAAGUGCAAUAUCCCCCUUUACCGCCCUAACUGAAGACCUAGAAGGAGCGCGCGCGCCUCCGCUUGCAGGGGACUUACCGGACCAAAGAAAUCAGCAAAAGCAAGAAUGAGCCUUCCACAGGAAUCGCUAAACACUCUACCACCACCCCCACCUCGAAGAGUAGAGCAACCAUCCGUAUUCAACUUAAAGAAACCGUUCGACGGACACACCCAUCGCACCAGAGUGGAAACUAAGGACCUCCGAACCCCAGACAGCGAGUCCAGAAUUUUCGCCCAUUGAAGUGGUAACCUUGCCAUGGCCGAAAAGUACACCUGGACCAAUAACGCAGCUCAUUAAUGAUCCAUCCCCGAACCUAACCAACGGAUAUACUUCGUCCCUCAAAUCGAGUCGUGUUUCUAGCCCGCCAUAAAAACCAGACAAUAAGCAAUGGUAGCAUGCGGGAUAACCACCGCAAUGCCCUCCCUUUGUCAGGGAGCAACCACCAUUUGUAGCAUCAUGACCUAACAGAAGCAACUGAAGGAGUUGCAAAGCCUAACGACUGCCCAAAAAGCCCUCAAACCUCAUUUGCCAGUGCCCCAGUAGCAAACACAUGUUGCAGCGUUUCCAACUGAGGCGGCAAACAGCAGUGGCACUUAGAGGGGCCAUAACCUGAAACUUUUCUAACACAUCAUCCACCGGCAGCUGCUCGUGCAACAAUCUCCACAUAAGAAAGGAUAAUUUUGGCGGAAUUAGAGAAUGCCAGAUAGAAGCAAAUGCCCAAGACUGAACCCCAGAGGAUCGAACUACCUGAUAUGCCGAUUUUGUAGAAAAAUCCCCCGAAGGUUCUAAGGUCCAAACUAGACUAUCCGGAACCUUACCAAAACAAAAGAAAGAAUCUGCAGCCGCCUCUGCGACCUCCGAGGGGAAGGUAGCCAAGGUUAAAUGAUCCCAUUGGCCCUCACGCAAAAAAUUUUGAACCCGAGCGUUUGACGCUAAAUCUGGAAACCUCCAUGCCAACGGACCUAGCCCACUCCAAUUAUCCUACCAGAAGGCAACAUCCCCCCUAGACAAAUCCCAUUUUAGCCAUAUCUCCAUGGAAGAUCGAACCCCAAACAUUCGUUUACAACUCGGGGAAAACUUAGGAAAAAUAGAGACCUGAUUCGGAUGUAACUCACCAACAUACCUAGACCUCAUGAACUGGGCCCAGAGCGAAUGCCCACAUCUAAACAACCAUCAUAGCUUACAGGAAAAUGCUUCAAUAAUGGCCUGUAAUGAACGAAAACCUACUCCCCCCUCCUCCACGGGACGACAUAAUUUCUUCCAUGCUGACCAGUGUCGCUUAAACCCAAACUCUGAUUCCCCCAAAAAAAAACCAUGCAAACAUCCGCUCUAGCUCAGCAAUUACCCCUUGUGGAGGCACCAAUACGGCCAGAAUGUGAGUCGGAAUUGAAGAUAGCAUAUGCUUAAUGAGUAGAGCACGAGCACUCAUUGAUAGCCAUCGACCUCGCCAAGAAUUCAAAUACUGUGAUACUUUAUCCAAUAAACCAUUGAAGAAGGAUCUCACCCUUCUCCCAGCAUACAAGGGGCAACCCAAGUAAGUGACCAGCAGCUCUUUAAAAGAAAACUCCGUUGUCCGCGCAAUCACCCAACGCCGUACAAGCGAUACCUUCUUGUCCACCAAGAAGCAGCUCUUAGAAACGUUCACCAACUGCCCUGAGAUCCUUUGAUAUUUGCCCAAUACCGCCAACUGCCCUUUGUAUUUGAAAGAAGGUUUGUCUUUCUUAUGCAUCAAAGUUGACUGACAAUUUAAUCAGUUUCUACUUACUCUGCUUAAUCACAAAGGCAUAUUUACCCUAAAUUGUACUUAGUGAAUACACUUUCUAACUCUAUUUUUAUUUAUUUUUUUAAGGCUACCUAUUAACUUUUUUCCCUCAAUCAAAUGUUGAUACUGCAGAAGAUUUAUUAGAUUGUUGCAUAUGAAAUCAACCUACUAUUAUUGCCUUCUGAAAAAAUUUAGACUAGUUCUCUUAUUAAGUGACCAAUGUCUUGUUCUUACAGGUACUCCUACCUAGAAAACUAUAGUACAGAGCUAAUUGUUGGUACAAUAGAUAAGCAACCUCUUCUUGAGACUCUUAGAGAGGUAAAUUUACUGUCCUUUCUGAGCAAUUCCGGAUCAAUAUUCCUAAGAAUAGAAUAUUAUAACUAGAAGUUUAAUGAAGUCUCAAAGCUAUUAGAUUUUGGUCAGACAUUUUGAACUACGAUUAACUGAAAUAUUACCUUCUUGUUCAUUCUCAGGUUUUUGUACUCAGGAAACUACUUCCCACUUCUUUACCAUAUGACUUCAACAUUCAUGUGAGUUGUUACCUUACAUACUUUUGUUUUUGAGAUGCAAUGGCUGCCCACACUACAUCUCACUUUUAGAUAGCAAGAUGUAAAUUCUUAUCUAUUUGUGAACAAGGAUUCAACAGAGCAUGUUGAUAGAUAUAUGUGGUUGAAGCAUUAGAUAAUGACAAUUAUACUCCACUUGGCAGAUCAUGGAUUUUCAAUCAGGAGAAUUUCAAUUAUGAUAAUGAUUAUUAUACUCCACUAUCUGUUUGUUGAUCAUUUUCUUUGUUUUAUUUAAGUCAUUUGGCCUUUUAUUUUUUUUGCAAAUUUCCCUCUUGAAGAUAGCAAAAUAGCAUAGGCAGCAGGCACUCAUCCUCUAUUGAGUAAUACAAGCAGAAUACCACUAGCAUUAUAAACACUGGGGAUUAAGAUGCACCGCAAUCCAACUUUUGAAACUGAAGCUCAAGUAUCCCCCUUAAGUCACAUUAUAAAAAUUCUAAUGAAUUGCAAAACUAUAUAAAAAUAAACGUAAAAGUCUAGAAACUCCCAAGUAUUAAGCACAUAUAAUAAUCUCCUAUUAUACCAUGAAGGAAAUGAGUAAAGUGAAUAUAUCACAAAGAAAUUAAGCUUAAUUACCUUGCCUUCGAACCAGAAUAGCUCACAAAAUUGUUGGUUGAGUUGUCUCAAAGCUACAAUUAGUUCACCAACGGAGAACCAAAUCCAACCAAGGAAUUGGUUGUGCAAUUGAGAAAUCAAAAGAAAUUUCAAUUUGGUAUUUCUAUUGUAGAGAUAAAACUAAGAAACAAACCUAAGAAUCAACUAAGAAACAAACACAAAAUUGAGAUAGAACUAUCGCUAGGUAUAAGCCUCACCAUUUUCCUUUGAGACUCUACUUAAGCUAUUUCUACUGCAGAGAAUAAAGACGAAAUAGGUGGAAUUAGGUUUCAGAGAGAAAGAGAAAGAUUAAUUGAUCAGCAAAUAAGAAUCAAAGGUAUUUCUACAUCAUUAGGAAUCGAGAGGUGGAAUUGAGAGGUGGAAGAGAGAGAGAUCAACAAAUAUUGUAUUCCAACACAACAGAGACUUCGAUAUAGAAAUUAAAAAAAAAAAAAGGUCGGAGUACAGGUUUCGACCGAGGACAGCAUCUUUGUUGCAAUGUAAACUGAAUUGAAUAACUUUGUUGCUAUUUUUAAUUCAACUAGUGAAUUAUAAUAUCUUUUUUUUUGGCAAAUACUUCUCGAAACAUUAGAGACUAGAAGUUUAGAUUAGGAAAUUAGGCAUUUUGAAGACAUUUGAGAUUCAAUAGAUGAUGAAAAUUUAGAAUCAAAAUAGGAUCAAAAUUGUUAAACAAGGAAUUUGAAGCCAGGUUUUCAGAUUUGAGAGAGAAGGUGGAAAUUUUUUGAAAGUUUGGAGAAGGUCCAGUAGCUAAUUUGUUUCAGGGACAACUUUAUGUCAAUUCGUAGCUCCUAUCUUUGAGCAUCACUGUGUGUAUCCAGAUUAUCCAUAAGGAUUUUUUCCUAGAACAUGUUCCAGAUGUGCUUCAUGAUAAAAGUUUGGUUAUAUGUGUCUAAUGUAGUAAUCAAAAUCCCACCCUCAUCUUUAGGAACAUGAAGUUCCUUCCACUCAACCUUAGCCAUUUAUUGACUCUCGUUUUCUCUAGACAAUAGAAGGCUGCGAAAAGCUUCUCAAUUCUUUUGCUAAUUGAUUUGGGCAAAAUGAACAUGCUACUCCAUUAAAGAUGAAACUAUUAACUACAUAUUUGAACUAAAUAGUCUUCUUGCAUAACUCAAGUGCCAAGAUACCCAAGCUCUAGAUUUUAGAAUUCAUCUUCUCCAAAAUAAGUAUGCAAUUAGUGUAUGUUAUUCGCGUAGAAUUAUGUGCCCUACUAGGAAUACAUUGCAAUUCUGUAAGUUCAGCUUCAACCCCAAAAAAGUUCUCAAACUCAUGAAGAGUUUUCUUAACUAGUUGCAUAGCUUUCUUUGUAGCACCUGAAACCACAAAUACAUCAUCAACAAAAAUUAAGUGAAACAAUUUCAUCUUUUCACAUUUGAGAUGGUAAUCCAGCCCAUGAGCUGCAUUGUUCCUUUCCAAUAACUAAGGAAAGUCCACCAAAGUAUUAGGAGUAAAUAAGGAGAUAUUGGAUCUCCUUUCCUCAACCCUCUUCCACUUUUAAAAUAUCCUACUAUAACUCCAUUGAUAUUGAGUGAGAAAUGUGCUAUAGUGACACACAAUUUAGUCCAAUCAAUAAAAUCGUAUCAAAAAAAUUCAUAAGCCUUAUAGUAGUGAAUAAAAAAUUCCAAUCAACAGUUUUGUAGGCCUUCAUGAGAUUUAUCUUGAUUGCACAGUUGGGUUUGCCUCCAUCUCUACGGUAAUUAUACACUAGCUUAUGCAUCAACAUGAUAUUUUUUGAAAUCAAGUGCCCUUUGAGAAAUACAUUCUGGUUUUGACCAAUCAAACUAGGUAAGACCCUUUUCAAAUGAUCAGUGAGGACUUUCAACGAUGCCUUAUAGAGCACAUUGCAACAUGCAAUGGGUUUACAAUCCUUCAUUUAGAAGCUUACUGGGUCUUUGGUAACAAGGUAAUAAGAGUACUAUUUAACGGUUGAUACAUGUAACAAUUAGCAACAUAGAAUCUCAUAGCACGACAUACCGCUUCGCCCGUGAGUGACCAAUUCUAUAUGUAGAACUCUAUGGUAUAGCCAUCUGUCCCUGGUGCAGUAUCACUUUUCAUGCUAAAUAUGGUUGCUUUAAUCUCAUCAUUUUUCACUUCCCUACUCAGCAAUUUUGGUUGACCUUUAGUAAUAUUUUUCUUUAUAAUUAGCUUCAACUUGUAAAUAAGAGCAUGCUGACUAGCAAACAACCUUUUGGAAAACUACACAGCUUCAUAUUUCACUUCUUCACAGUCAACCUUAUACAGUCUUCAAUUACCAAAGAAAGCAGUCUGCUCUUUGCCUAAUGUUUCACUACUUUCCUGUGGAAAAAUUCUUUCUUGUCACUAUCAUUCUUCCAUCUCACCCUUGACUUAUCCUUAAAGAACUAUUCUUCAGCAAUCAAGAAGUCUCCAUAGGAUAGGAGAUACUUCCUUUCAAAAUUCUGCAAAUCACUAUUAUGAGGUUGUUGUUGCAAGUAUGCAACAAGGACUGGGUAGCUAUUGAAAGAUCCAUAGCUUAGUUUACUCUACCACUUAGAUUACUUGAAAAUGUCUUGUUGAAAGCUUUAAGAUCACCUUUGAAUGUUUAAACAAAGAGUUCUCAUGGGAUUACUGUUUUCUUGAGUCACCUAUGCACAAGCUAAAGUACUCUGAAACCCUCUGUUCUGCAUCCAGAACCCGUGAAACUUGAACGAUUUUGAACCAUAAUCUACUCAAUCUGCAAGUUUCACUAGUAAUAGGCAAUGAUCAGGAUAUGAUAGUGGAAGAAAUUCCCAGUAAUAUGUAUAAAAUGCUAGAACUACUUUCAUUCUCCAAAACCCUAUCUAGCUAACUAUACUGCAUGUCCUUUCCAUCAUGCUUAUUGCAUCAUGUAAGAAAAUAGCCAGAUGCAUUCAGUCUUCUACAUCAAUUUCCUCUAGACAUAUAUUUAAUUCAUCCAUGGCACCAUAAUCAAAUGUCUCACUGCCCAAUUUUUCUAAACAUUUUCUAAUUAUAUUGAAAUCUUCAAGAAUUAUCCAAGGCAUGUCAGCAUAAUUUGCAGCAAUCUCUCUCAAGUAACUCCAUAAUUCCCAACAUCAACUCUUGGAAGGUAAAGAUCCUACUCCUACUGUUAUAAAAUGAACAAAUGGUGAUCAAAGCUUGCAAAAAUGCAUGCAAAAAAUAGAAUCAAUAAUAACAAAUUUAAUGAUAACUCAAAAUUUCCUAGAAAUUUAAUUUUAUAGGUCAUACUUGGAACUAAAAAAAAGGAAAACCUAAAAUUAAAAAAUCCUCGGCGAAUAGAAAACAAUUAGUCUCUACGAAAAAUAUGUUUUGUGAAAACUUUGGUAAUUGAUGUUUUGUUGUAGCUUGCUUCCUUUAUAUUUUGGUCCUUCCUUUAGUUCUAUACACAUUCUACUUGUCUUACAUUCGAUUUUGGCAAGGUUUUUGUUGACGUGUUGUAGUUGUAUAUGAUUCUUAAUUUUUUGUUUCCUUUGAGUGGACUAAUUGUAGUUUUACCUUUUAUAUUUUGAGAGAUGAGUGGACUAACGCUAAUUUCCUUCGUAAUUGUGCAGUGCUCUUUUGUUCCUUUCUUUUUAUUUUUUUUCAAGGCCAUUGAACUAGAUAGCAAUAGUAUGUACUGACCCCUAGUUGUACAAUGGGAUUAAUUUUGAAAAUAAAAACGUUAUUAUGUAUAAUUAUGAGAACUUAAUAUAUAUCAGUUUUAUGAAAUGAUUAAAAUUCUAAAAACACUCCAACAAAUAACUAUAGUAAUAAUUUUUCCUAUGCACCAUUACAAUAAAAUUUAUAUAAAAAAAACUCCAAAACACCUGAUUCAUAUGGAGCUGAUUCGUCAUUCAUUGCUGCAUUUUUCAAGCAUAGCAUGUACUUCUUGCCUAGCUUCACCUUCAAUUUGAAUGUAUCUGGAAAGCAAACACGCUCAAAAUGGAUUUUAAUUUCAAAUAAGUCAUAUGUCUUUAAGAAAGUAAACAGAUAUAGAAGAAAGCAAAAUGCAAAAACUUCCUAGUGUAAAGUUGAAAGUAUUAGUUGAACAUCAAGUAGUAAGGCUUAAAUCAUUCUUUAGACUCGUAUGAAAUUUUAAAUGGUAGUCUUCCCCAUUGAUUCAGGUACAAGGAAGCUGUCAAACUUGAUUUGAUUUAAUUAAGAUCUUCAUCUUCCACUUUGUUUCAACCUAGUUUUCAUUGUACUUUUAGGGGUAAAAUACCAGUACUAAAUAUAAGGGGUUAGAAAUGAAGGAUUAAUUUUUCAAUAUACUGACAGUGUAUAUACUAUUAUUAUUAGAUGCGCGAUAACUAAUUUUAAAUUUAAAUUUUGUAUAUAUGUCAUAUAUUCAAUAGCGAUACACCUUUAGUAUAUAUAUUAUGAUUAAUCUUUCCAACACUGAUAGUGUAUAUAUCGUCAACAUUGGAUGAAUGACAGCUAUGCAAAUUUUGAAUUUGAAAUCCAACUUUUAUACGUGUCAUGAAUCCAAGUCACAUCUCUAAGUUGGAGCAUUUUCUUCCUGUUCCAUGAGCAAUUGGUAGGUAUUGAGAUUUGACCAAAAGCUCCCAUCUUUGAGCAUCGCUGUGUGUAUCCAGAUUAUCCAUAAGGAUUCUUUCCUUGAACAUAUGUUCUAGAUGUGGUUCAUGAUAAAAGUAUGGUUGUAUGUGUCAAACUAUAGUAAUCAAAAUCCCACCCUUAUCUUUAGGAACACGAAGUUCCUUCCACUUAAUCUUAGCCAUAUAUUGACUCUUGUUUUCUCCAGACAAUAGGAAGGAUGUCAAAAACUUCUCAAUUCUUCUGCUAAUAGAUUUGGGUAGAUUGAACAUGCUACUCCAUUAAAGAUAAAGCUAUUAACUAUAUAUUUGAGCUAAAUAGUCUCCCUGCAUCAUUCAAGUGCCUAGAUGCCCAAGCUCUAGAUUUUAGAAUUCAUCUUCUCCAAAAUAAGUAUGCAAUUAGUGCAUGUAAUUUGCGUAGAAAUAUGUGCCCCUACUAGGAAUACAUUGCACUUCUGUAAGUUCAGCUUCAACCCCGACAAGUUCUCAAACUCAUGAAGAGUUUUCUUAACUAGUUGCAUAGCUUUCUCGGUAGCACCUAAAACAAAUACAUCAUCAGCAAAAAUUAAGUGAAACAGUUUCAUCUUUCACAUUUGGGAUGGUAAUCCAGCCCAUGAGCUGCAUUGUUCCUUUCCAAUAACUAAGGAAAGACCACCAAAUUAUUAGGAGUAAAUAAGGAGAUAUUGGAUCUCCUUUCGUCAACCCUCUUCCACUUUCAAAGUACCCUACUAUGACUCUAUUGAUAUUGAGUGAGAAAUGUGUUGUAGUGACACACAAUUUAGUCUAAUCAAUAAAUCAUACCAAAAAAAUUCAUAAGCCUCAUAGUAGUGAAUAAAAAUUCCCAAUCAAUAGUUUUGUAGGCGUUCAUGAGUUGUAUCUUGAUUGCAUACUUGGGUUUACCUCCAUCUCUAUGGUAGUUAUACACUAGCUUAUGCAUCAACAUGAUAUUUUUUGAAAUCAAGUGUUCUCUGAGAAAUACAUUCUAGUUUUGACCAAUCAAACUAGGUAAGACCCUUUUCAAAUGAUCGGGGAGGACCUUCGAGGAGAUCUUAUAGAUCAUAUUGCAACAUGCAAUGGGUCUAUAGUCCUUCAUUUAGAAGCUUCCUGGAUGUUUGGUAAUAAGGUAAUAAGAGUACUAUUUAGCGGUUGAUACAUGUAACAAUUAGCAACAUAGAAAUCUCAUAGCACGACAUACCUCUUCGCCUAUGAGUGAUCAAUUCUAUAUGUAGAACUCUAUGGUAUAGCCAUCUGUCCCUAGUGCAGUAUCACUUUUCAUGCUAAAUAUGGCUGUUUUAAUCUCAUCAUUUGUCACUUCCCUACUCAGCAAUUCUACCUGACCUUUAGUAAUAUUUUUCUUUAUAAUUAGCUUCAAAUUAUAAAUAAGAGCAUGCUGACUAGAAAACAACCUUUUGUAAAAUUACACAGCUUCAUAUUUCACCUCUUCAAAGUCAACCUUAUACAAUCUUCAGUUACCAAAGAAAGCAGUCUGCUCUUUGCCUGAUGUUUCACUACUUUCUUGUGGAAAAAUUCUUUCUUGUCACUAUCAUUCUUCCACCUCGCCCUCGACUUAUUCUUGAAGAACUAUUCUUCAGCAAUCAAGAAGUCUCCAUAGGAUAGGAGAUACUUCGUUUCAAGAUUCUGCAAAUCACUAUUAUGAGGUUGUGGUUGCAAGUAUGCAACAAAGACUGAGUAACUAUUGAAAGAACCAUAGUUUGGUUUACUCUGCCACUUAGAUUACUGUAAAACGUCUUGUUAAAAGUUUUAAGAUUACCUUUCAAUGUUUAAACAAAGAGUUCUCAUGGGAUUACUAUUUUCUUAAGUCGCCCAUGCACAAGCUAAAGUACUCUGAAAGCCUCUGUGCUGCAUCCAAAACCCAUGAAACUUGAACGGUUUUGAACCAUAAUCCACUCAAUCUGCAAGUUUCACUAGUGAUGGACAAUGGUCAGGAUAUGAUAGUGGAAGAAAUUCCUAGUCAUAUGUAUAAAAAUGCUAGAACUACUUUCAUUCUCCAAAACCCUGUCUAGCUUACUAUAUUGCAUUUCCUCUCCAUCAUGCUUAUUGCAUCAUGUAAGAAUAUAACUAGAUGCAGUUUAGGCUUCUACGCCAAUCUCCUCUAGACAUAUAUUUAAUUCAUCCAUGACACCAUAAUCAAAUGUCUCAUUGCCCAGUUUUUCUAACAUUUUCUAAUUAUAUUGAAAUCUCCAAGAAUUAUCCAAGGCAUGUCAGCAUAAUUUGCAGCAGUCUCUCUCAAGUAACUCCAUAAUUCCCAACAUCAACUCUUGGGAGGUAAAGAUCCUGCUCCCACUGUUAUAAAAUGAACAAAUGGUGAUCAAAACUUGCAAAAAUGCAAGAAAAAAAUAGAAUCAAUAACAACAAAUUUAAUGAUAACUCAAAUUUUCCUAGAAAUUUAAUUGUUUAGGUCAUACUUGGAACUAAAAAAGAAAGAAAAACCAAAAAUUAAAAAAUCCUCGAUAAAUGGAAAACAAUUAGUCUCUACAAAAAAGAUGUUUUGUGAAAACUUUGGUAAUUGAUAUUUUGUUACAGCUUCCUUCCUUUAUAUUCUGGUCAUUCCUUUAGUUCUAUACACAUUCUACUUGUCUUACAUCCGAUUUUGGCAAGGUUUUUGUUGACGUGUUGUAGUUGUAUAUAGUUCUUAAUUUUUUGUUUUCUUUGAAUGGCCUAAUUGUAGUUUUACCUUUUAUAUUUUGAGAGAUGAGUGGACUAGUGCUAAUUUCCUUCGUAAUUGUGCAAUGCUUUUUUGUUCCUUUCUUUUUAUUUUUUUUCAAGGCCAUUGAACUAGAUAGCAAUAGUAUAUACUGAUCCCUAGUUGUACAAUGGGAUUAAUCUCAUAAAUAAAAAAGUUAUUAUGUAUAAUUAUGAGAACUUAAUAUAGAUUAGUUUUACGAAAUGAUUAAUAUUCUAAAAAUACUCCAACAAAUAACUACAGUAAUAAUUUUUUCCUAUGCACCAUUACAGUAAAAUUUAUAUAAAAAAAACUCCAAACACCUGAUACAUACGGAGCCGAUUCGUCAUUCAUUGCUGCAUUUUUCAAGCAUAGCAUGUACUUCUUGUCUGGCUUCACCUUCAACUUGAAUGUAUCUGGAAAGCAAACACACUCAAAAUGGAUUUUAAUUUCAAAUAAGUCAUAUGUCUUUAAGAAAGUAAACGGAUAUGGAAGAAGACAAAAUGCAAAAACUUCCUAAUGUAAAGUUGAAAGUAUUAGUCGAACAUGAAAUAGUAAGACUUAAAUUGUUCUUUAGACUCGUAUGAAAUUUUAAAUGGUAGUCUUCCCCAUUGAUUUAGGUAUGAGGAAGCUGUCAAACUUGAUUUGAUUUAAUUAAGAUCUUCAUCUUCCACUUUGUUUCAAACUAGUUUUCAUUGUGCUUUUAGGGGUAAAAUACCAGUACUAAAUAUAAGGGGUUAGAAAUGAAGGAUUAAUUUUUCAAUACACUGACAGUGUAUAUACUAUCAUUAUUAGAUGCACGAUAACUAAUUUCAAAUUUAAAUUUUGUAUAUAUGUCAUAUAUUCAGCAGCGAUACACCUUUAGUAUAUAUAUUAGGAUUAAUCUUUCUAACACUGAUAGUGUAUCUACCGUCAAUAUUUGAUGAAUGACAACUAUGCAAAUUUUGAAUUUAAAAUCCAACUUUUAUACAUGUGUCAUAAAUCCGAUGGUGAUAGCAUAUACACUGUCAGUAUAUAGAAGAUUUACUCUAUGUAUUAUUACCUCUAGAAAUGAGUAGAGUUCAAGUAUAACUCAAAAAAAAUUUCACUUUUAAAAAAUAGCUAACAUCUGUGACUUCUCUUGUAAUAGAUGCCAAUUGGGCACCUGUUAACCAAACUAUUAAUUAAAAACUAAUUGCACAACAAAUGACUUUUGUUCAUCCAUCAAACACCGAUUUUCCUAACUCCAUUAAACCUAUGUCAAGCACUAAUUUUUCUUUAACUCUGUUGAACCUAUUUUGCCCCCUACCCGCCCUCCCCCCGAAACUAGCAUUCUGGGUCCAUCCCUGGCUACCUAGUGCUAGUCCCCUUGCCAUCUCUUGACUCGCGGUUGGCGUGGAUAGGGUAGUGAAUUAAUAGUUAUUUCGGAGUAGUUAUUUGAAAGAAUAAGCAACAGUUUCCUCUUUUCUUUUCCCUUUUCUUAAUUAUCCUUUUUGGAUUUUAAUUUUUUGAAUUUUUUUAGAAGAAUAUAUUUUAACAAUAUGAUGUAUGUUUAGUUAAAAAAAAUGAUUAAAAAAUUGUGUCAAAAAUAUUCUCAAAUUUUUCUACCAAAACUUGCAAUCCAAAUAGUUUUCUUUUUCCUCAGGAGAUGUACGAGGACUACAAUUACUAGAAUUUCGACUCAAUAUUGUGCUAUUUCACGAAGUGCUUCAUAAAUCCCUUUGUCCAUACUUGGCCACAAUUCACAUGUCACAAUCUGCACUUACUUUUCUUUUCGACAAACCAAAUGAGGCCUAGUGGAAAUACUAACGUUUUGAGGGGUCAAUUAGUUAUUUCGUUAAUCCACAACGGCCAUCGUCACGUUAUCCCCAUUGCGAAGGCGGGAAAUAUUUUUGUCAAAUUCACACACUCUUUCUCCCACUCAGCCUCUCCUCUCUCAAUACAUAAAUUUCUAGGGUUUAAUAAUUCAUACGAAGAUUAAUCUUGUAAGAUCAGAAAACCUUGGAACAGAGCAAUGGCGGCAGCCGAGUCUGAGGCUGAGGCGCAACAACUCAUUUCCCGACUUGGCAAACAACUUAAAGCUUCCAAAACUUGCCCAAACAAAGACUCCCUUGUCAAAUGGCUAAAAGUAAUUACCUGUCCUCGAGUACUCUUUAUUCACUUUAGCUGUUGGGCAGAUUGAUUUUAUUUUAUUUUUUGUGGUAUAUUUUACAUUUUGAAGUUAAUUAUCGCUUUUACGGUUGUGGGUUUCUCUGGGUUAGUUGAAUUUUUUUGAGGCGGUUUCAUUUGGGUUAACUUUGUUGUGAUUUAUGGGGUAAUUAGUUGAUUGUAUUUAAUUUUUUUUGCGGUAUAUUUUACAUUUUGAAGUCAAUUAUCGCUUUUACGGUUGUCGGUUUCUCUGGGUUUUGUUGAAUUUUUUUUUGGGGGCGGUUUCAUUUGGUGAACUUUGUUGUGAUUCAAGGGGUAAUUAAUUGAUUUUAGGUUUCUUAGCUUCUAUUUGUUUAGAGAAUCGUGGGAGAAAGUGAGGGAGAUCAUGUAUAAUUCUGGACUCUAGAACACAGCGCGCAACUUAAAUUGGUGAAACUCAGUGGGCCUAAAACAUGUUUAAGCGUAUUUACUUGGGGGAUGUGGGUAUUGAUGUUUACCCUAAUCUAAUUGAAUUCAUUGCAGGAAGCUGUUAUUGCUUUGGGAAAAUUUAAACAGUUGAAAUCACUGAAUUCAGUAAUACAACCUCUGAGUGAUUCUCUUAUUAAGCAUGGCCUGCUUCAGCACAAGGAUAAAGAUAUUAGAAUUUUGGUGGCGACCUGCUUCUGUGAGAUUAUCCGGGUCUUGGCUCCAGAUCCUGGUUUCAGUGAUGAUGUUUUCACGGUAACAGUUACAUUACUGUGAUUUGUUUACCAUGUUCCCUUCACUUGUCUCCAUUUUAAUUUGUUAAGAUCCCAUGUAUUGUCUUCCCCUUUGAUGGGAAAUCUUUCAUAUGUUAAUGGGCAACUGAUUCUCGUUGCAGGAUAUAUUUAAACUUCUUCAAAGCAUAUUUGCGGAGACCGGUGAUUACAAAAGCCCAUAUUUUUCAAGAAGGGUGAAACUGCUGGAGACAGUUGCUAAGCUGAACGUUUGUGUACUAAUGCUGGAUGUUGGAUGCGAGGAUUUAAUUCUCAAAAUGUUCAAAAUCUUUUUCAGUGCUGCGAGGUUAUAUUUUCUUGUUUCAUCUGUGUUUGCUCAUGCCCUUCUUUUACCUGGAAUCAGUGAGAACUAUGUUGCUCUGCCUUUUGGGAAGGCUACGCAUUUUAUGCUUAUAAUUUUUGUUUAGACUUCAACAGUCAGUCACUAAAGAAUUCAUGGAGCACAACCAACUAUAUUGCAUUCACAAUAACACAAAGGAAAACAAAUAAGUCAAUAAUUUCUACAAAAAAUGACUAAAAAAAAAAUUUAGGCUUGCAGGACGCUUGCACACAAAGGUUAGAAAAUAAGUUUGGUAAGACAUGCCAAGAUUGGAUUGUGCAGGAAUCAGAGAAGCCCUUUCACAAAUUAGAAAACUGAAACUAACAUGAAACAAUCAAAUAACAAGUUUCAGUACCCUAAACCAAAGUUUUUUUUGCUUUUAUGGGUUCUGCUUUGGGAUUUAAGAAUUCCUUACUGAAAGAAGAGUAGGGCCAUGAGGGUUGGCUGGAUAGGAUUUCUUAAGGAAAGAAUGGCUGGAUGGGCUAUCUUAAGGAAAGAAAACUCAAAUUGGUAGAUGAGAUUCUUAAGGAGAGAAAACUCAAAUUGGUAGAUGAGAUUUAAACUUAUUGAUGGAUACAAAGUGUGCGAGGCUCUUAAUAAGCUUGGCAGAUUGGGGAAAAUGUUACACAACUGCAGACUAAAUAAGGUGAGACAGGAUUGAGGUAAAGAGGGUUUCAAGUAUCUGUGCAGAGUAUAGCAAACUUGAAGUAUGAUUCUUGAAGUUGACUAGGAGACUUCAAAGAGUGAUAUCAGCUAGUCUGCAUGCGGGAAACAGUUAGAGUAACCGGAAUGGUAAAAAUUUGAGAAGAGGAUACACAGUAUGUCAUAGGCUAUAAAGACUGUUUAAAUUGGUGGAUUGUGCUUGUAAUCAGGCGAUGAAAAGACUUUUACUGGUAUAUGAUUGUUUACCUACCAAAAAGCUUCAAGGUGCAGUGGAAAAAAUAAGAUCUGAAGAGCUUUUCUGUUACUAUUCUUUCUUAUCCCAUUAGUUUCAUGCCCCAAUCAAGGGCCCUUUUUUGUGUUAACCAGAAAGAGAAAAUAGAAAGUUAUGUUGCUGUAUUGAAUUUGUUGAUGCCAUAGUUAAGUGCUAUAGAUUCUUUAGAGCUGAAAUUAUUUUGGAACCGUUCAGCUGUCUUGAGAAAGGAAACAUGUAUCUGCUGUCAUGUUUAAUAUAUGCUUGAGAUAGAGUUAGCUAAGAGAAGCAUAUGCUUAUGGGUUUACCAAAGUGCCUUCACUUGUCAUGUUUAUAUAUAUAUGCUUGAGAUAGAGUUAGUUAAGAGAAGCAUAUGCUUAUGAGUUUACCAAAGUGCCUUCGCGAAAGCUUUGGUACCAGAAACCUAUUUUGCAAGCUUUCUUAUUGUAAAAAUUUCCAUUGGAAGAAUAUAAUUCUCCAACCUAUUAUGACAGUUUAUCUUUUGUUAUCAUCUGAUCACAAUUUUGAACACUUAUGCAUAAUAUAAUUAUCUUUUUUUUUUUGUAAAGGCUAUAUGUAAUUAUUAAGCUAUUCUUUGACAAUAGUUCAACUAUUCCCUGCAGAGAGCAGCAUCCUCAGAGUGUGAUUAAUGCAAUGUCAUCUAUAAUGGCUCGCAUUUUGGAAGACAAAUUGGAAGAGAAAGAUCUCGAGUCACUCAUUUUUCAGGAAAAAUUUUCUGAGCCACUCUUGGAUGUGAUUAUACAAAAUCUUUUGAAAGAAUCAAAGGCAAGUGUUAGCUACAUGCUUUGCUUGUGUAAAAUAGCAUGAUCAAUGUCUUGUUGCAGUUUUGCUUUCUAUAUUUAUGGCAAUUGAUUAUAUUUAGAACCAUUUCAGAUGAUUUUGUAUUUUUGUUAGUUGUAGUUGCAUGUGAAAAUGGAUGAAAAAAUAGAGGUUUAUACCAACAUAAUAUUGGCAGUUAUCAUAUGCUUAGCAUGCUCAAAGACAUAAUGGAUAUUCUCUACUUAUCCUUGAAAACUGUUACCUAUUCUGCUCAUGGUUGUUUUACUUAAGCAUGAGAGGACUUAAGAUGAUCAGAGAUAUUAUGAGGUCUGGGCACCUGCUGCAGCAUAUUGAGAACUUUAUGAAUUACGAAUUGAGUCUAAUAUCUACUCAUGGACGAAAAGAGUAGGUGCAUACCUACAUGAUACGUGCAAGCUUUUUUAUUAAAACAUUUUGGGAGGGUUCUUGAUGGUUAGACUGCUUAAUCAGGUGUACUGGAGGUACCAUUUGGGGUUCUUUAGCAGAUUAUUUCCAAAUCUCUGGCAUAAAGUUGUUGGAUUGUCUCCCUUUUGUACUCUUCUUUUAAGUUGUCUACUUUUAUUCUUUUUAAGGAUUUUCCUUUCUUAGAGUUUUAAAGUUCAGCAUUUUAGCAGUCUUUGAACACUUUUUCCACUCUAUCUUUGAGUAUCAAAUCAGGACCCUUAGUUCGACAUCUCUCCUUUGGUCCAGCCAAUGAUGACCCUUUUGUGGACAUAUCAAUAGUUAUUAAUUUGUUGAAACAGUUCUUUUUCAGAGCCAUCAUUAAUUAUUAAUUGAUGAAGAGCUGCUUUACCAUGAUUCUUCCCUUGCUUUGUUGUCAUUUGUGAUUGAACUUAAAAAAUUUUGCUCUUGAAGCAUUUGGUGACAAGUAUUUAAUUGCUAGUUCAUUGGCUCAUUUGGUGUUUGAAUAUUAAAGGCUUAUUAGUAGAUCAGUACUUCAGAUACGUGGUUAAAAAGGGAUUCCUUGCUUUAGUCUUGUUGCAGUUGCUUUUUAAAUCAAACAGAUAAAUUGUCUGAUAGCUUAACUAAUUCUCAUAUUUAGCCGUACAAAAGUUACUCAGAAGGUUAUUAGAUGGUCUUUAUAAUAACGAGUCACUGUAGAAUUUGUUUAUUGCAAUAUUUCCUGUUUAGUAGUAUGGAUUAAUACCUUUUCUCUUUGGUGAUUUAUUUAUGUCUCUUGCAGGGUGGAUCUGGUGGCUUUGCUCGGCUUGCUGUUUCUGUCAUUCAGAACUGCAAUGAAAAGCUUGAACGCUGUAUUUGUACAUUUUUAAGAUCUUGUAUUUUGAACAGAGAAAGUAUUGGGAGUGAACUUAAAGAGUGGUACCAUGACAUUCUCUACGAAAUCUUCCGGAGUGCUCCUCAAAUGCUUGUUUCUGUAAUCCCUAGCUUAAGCCAUGAAUUACUCGUGAGUCAUUUUCCUUUCUGAGUAGCACCUUUCACUAUGCAAAGGGGAUAGAUUUUGUUGGUAACUGGUAUCCUACUAGAGAUUACUCAGUCAUCAUAUUGUGACUGCAUUAUCUUUCAGAAUCAUUUACCAAUCUGUAUAUCAUGAUAAUAUUUUUGUCAUUCCUCUUGAUGCUUUAAUUAAUCGUUUGUGUAAUAUGAUUUGCAGACAGAUCAGGUUGAUGUCCGUAUAAAAGCUCUUAAUUUACUUAGAAAAUGUUUUUCUUUGCCUGGCCACAACAUUGCUGAGGAGUAUCACAACCUUUUCAUGGAUUUUCUGAAUAGAUUUACGGAUAAGUCUGCUGAAGUAAGGUUAUGUGCUCUUUCAUGUGGUAAAGCUUUGUACACUAACAAUCCAUCUGGGACAGGAUCAUCACAAAUUCUCAGUAAGCUUUGAAAAUUUGAUUGUUCUGCUGCAUUUCAUGAACAUUGUUCUGCUAUCUGAGAUAAUCUUAAGCCUUUUAUUUUCUUUUUUUUUAAUCUUUUUUUUUGUACAUUCUUUGAAAUGAGCAGCAGAGCUGGAGAGUCGACUCUUAGAUUUUGAUGAUAGAGUUCGAAUGCAGGCUGUGAGUAUUGUGUGUGAUGUAGCAAGAUUACAAAUAGGCUCUGUUACUAAUGAACUAAUAAGUCAAGUGGCUGAUAGGCUUCGUGAUAAGAAGGUUACAUCUAUUCCCACCUUUGCAGUUUCUGUUUAGGGUGGCGAUUCUGAUUAUCAAAGAAAUAAGGAGAAGACAGCUGAUGAUUUUUUUUUUUGAAAAAAAAAACAGGUAUCUGUCAGAAAGAAAGCUUUGCAAAAGUUGCUGGAACUAUAUCAGGAUUAUUGUACAAAGUGUGUUGGAGACAUCAAGAUGCAUUUUGAGCAAAUACCUUGCAAAAUUUUAAUGCUUUGUUAUGACAAAGACUGCAAGGAGUUCAGGUAAGGUCUAUUCCCUCAUCAAUCUUUGUUAGAUAAAAACUCAUUGCUGUUUCAAUACACAUUUUUUUUGACUGAAUUUUUUUAACUUUCAGGCCACAAAGCCUGGAGUAUGUACUAGCAGAAGAUCUAUUUCCUGUUUCACUUUCAGUUGAGGGAAGGACAAAUCACUGGAUUUUUUUGUCCUCUCUUUUUACACCAUUGCAUGUGAACGCAUUGAAUGCCAUUCUAUCUCAGAAAAGAAGGUAUUGGUCCCAAGUUGUUGGCUUAACUUAAUCAAAAAGUAUUUUCUGUAUUCAUGUCUUUUAUGCUUUCAGGUUACGGAAUGCACUGCAAGCUUACUUACAUCUCCGGGUCCACAAGGAGGUAUGAUAGAAUAUUUAACUUUAAGCUAGCUAAUUAGCAAGCUGUUAGUUCCUGUGUCGUCCUGCAAAAUUCCUUUAGUGGGCCCUCAUGACUUGAAGAUUGAUUACUUUUGAAGCUGUUCUCCUUAAUUUUCUUUUCAUAGUUAUACGUAAGUUUGUGUGGCGAUGAGGUUUAUUUACUUUGCCUGGAUAAUUCUUGUUAAUUACUUGAUGACAAGCUCUGGAUAAUUGUUAUUAGUUACUAGACAACAAGCGAUUAGGAUUAUUUUGCAGGUAGAGAUGAAGAUCUUUCCAGUGAAUAAGAGCCUCUUUGAAUCUUGAGGUUGUAUCUACGAAUCUCACUCUACAAGGCCCCCUCCCCUCGUGCAGGGUUCUCCAACAGACACAAUUUAUGGCACUGAUUGCACAUGAGAAUCUGACACUAUAGUCAAUGUGAUAAUGCUUUCAAGACUUUGAGAUCUCUUGUGAAAUUUGUGAAAACUUAUGCCUCGUUUUGGACAUGAGUAGUAUUGAAUGUAUAAUCCUUCAGUGUCAUAGUUUACUCCAGAUUCUAGAUGGAACUAUUGUAAUUGUGGAUUUAAAUACUUCAUUCCAUGGCAUAUAUUACAUCUGUAAAUCAGAUUGACCAAUUUUACAAAAAUUAUAGAUUGCUCAAAUUUCCAAUGAUUUAUAAGCAGAGUUAAAGUAUAUAAGCACGUGACAAUGUAAUAGUAAUGUCAAAAUAACAAUGGUUCUAAAAAUUUGGAGAUUUCAAAUGAAGUUUGUAUGUAGCUAGUGUUUUUGGAUAUGAAUAAUAGUGGAUAUAUAACUCCCCUGUGCCAUAGUUCACUCCAGAUUCUAGAUAGAGGCUACCUAGUUAUGAAUUUAAGCACUUCAGUCCAGUGUGUUUGUGCACAUAUAAAGCAGAUCUUACAGAUUAAUAUUACAUUGCUGAAAUUCCCCUGAUUAUACUCAGAAUUAGAAGUUUUCAUUGGAAAAUGUUUAAUGAUAAUUUCCUUAGACCAGAAAUAUGCUUCACCAUGUUUAGAUUGAUAUAUCAUGAGUGUAUGCCUCUUGAAGGAUGCAGUUUCAAAUGAAUUCACUAGUUUUUAUUUGUUUGGAUAAAUGUUUCCAUAUGUUAAGUUCAUUUUAGUUUAGUGAGUUGGACAAUUGAUCAUUAAUUCAACUACUGAGUGUUGAUGUGAGCCUACCAAGUGAUGACUUGCUUUGGAGCAUACUUAUAUGAAGCUUAAUUUUCUUUAAUUCUGCAAUUGCAAUGUGCUGUGCAUGUGAUUUUGGUUACAGCUGUUUAAGAAGGAUGGCAUAGGUAUGAUUGCAAUACUGGACCAUGCAUUUUGAAGCCAACAUUCAGUAUUAGCUCUCUAGAUGCUGAUGCCAACUUUCAGAAUAUAUUAAAAUUCUAUUUGAGAUUGAAUUGCUGAUGUUUCUCUUAAUUGUUGCUGAAAUAGUUUCUACUUUCCGAAAUUGGAAUGUUAUCUUUCAAAAAGCAUUAGGAAUAGUUGAUCAGGGUCCAUUAGUAAUCUUUAAAUAGUUUUCAAAUCAAUACACUAAGUUGUAGUCCCAUUGCUCUUCUCCUGUAGCCGUCAUGUUCCACACUUGUGUCUUUAGAGAAUUUAUUCUCCACCUCUUAGUUCGGCUGAUUAUAAAACAAAAUUUGGAAGGUGACAAGAAAAAAUUGCGAAUAGGUUAACAGUAAAAACGUGCAAAAAUCAACAUAAGAAGAGGACAUUAUUAGUUGGUAUAACUGGUCUGAUAAUGUUUUACUUUCUUAAAUUACAAUUGGCACACCAGUUCCAUUUUCUUAAUUUGACUACUGCUAAUAGCAGUCAGCACUUUUUUCCUUUUUUUGGCAAAAUGGUACUUGUUUUUACUUCUUUUCUCUAUGAAUCACAAACAUGAGAGCAAGGGUUUUAUUGUUUGCACUAUAUUUUUCAUAUAUCAACCCAAUAUAUUCAUUUUCUAAUAGUUGUCUAAAAUCUUAUGCUUUUACAGGAGAUAGGCUCUGACGAAAUGGAAAGGAAUACCAAAGCUUUAUUUAAAAAAAUGUCAGCUUUGUUUCCUGAUCCUGCAGAAGCAGAAGAGUGCUUUUAUAAGCUGAAUCAAGUCAAUGAUAAUGAUAUUUUCAAAAUGCUGGCAGACAUGAUAAACGUUGGAGAUGCUCUUUCUACUAGAGUAAGUUUGUCAUCCUUGCAAUUGGUUUUCUACUUUGCUUCUACUUGACUCUGUUUAAUAGAGAUCAUGUCCACUUAUUCAUCCAUAGAGCAUAAUGUCAGUGCUGUUGUGAGAAUGGAGUUUUGUUUUUUAAUAGGAGCUUUAGUAUUCCAGAACUUGCAUUGGCUUAAGAAUACUCUGCUAUUUUAUUUUUCAUCAUUGAUUAUUUGACCAUCUUGUAGAAUAAUUUUUCCAUGAUUGCUCCUAAAUUUAAAUCAGAUGUUGUUGCUUUCGGAGUUCUAAUUUUGAAAUGAUAUUUUAUUGUAAUUGAUGUUGGAAAAUGACUUUAAUUUGUGUUUUCGGGAAUUGUAUGAAUGAUGCAAUAGGGUUAAACCAUGAUAAAAAUCAGGAGAUAAGAAAAUAGAAUUCAUAGCUAAUAAAAUGGGAUGGAAACAUUGCAGACAAGUUUAUUGCUGUACAGGAUAUCUUCUAUUUCGAGCAUAAAUUUGAUUCUUACAAUACAAAGAGAUGAUAAUCUGCUUAACUAUUGCUGCUCAACAUUUGCUUAUCUUCUUAAGCACUGAUCUUGAAACGGCUACUGUUAGCUUCUGAACAUUUUUGGUCUUCCAUAUAAAAACUAUUACUGGUAGGCAAAUGAUGAGAGUAGUUAAAAUUUUCAACUGGUCCUUAUUUUUUUAUUUUGUAUUAGCUUGUUUUAUUUUUUUGACCUCUUUGUUUGUUUUUGUUCACCUUAUGUUCUGGAGUCUUUUUUCCUCAACUUGUUCAUUGGAGUAGAUGUCAGGUAUGGUACAUAGCAGAUCCGGUACAAAUACCAACUGAAAUGACAUUCUCUUGCCAUAUGUUGGUUUGUUCCAGUGAAAUGAAUGGUUUCGGCAGAAAAUGAGGAUGUCUAUACAGAUUUCAGAUGUUGCAUGCUUUGUCUUACAUUUACAUGCUUUUCUUUUCUGUGACCAAUCCUCAUUUUGUUUUAUUCACUGAAAUUAAGAGAAGAGGACUUCCCUGUUGAUUUAUUACCAGACUUUAAAAGGCUUGAGCUAUCCAAAAUAGAAGCAACAUGUUGCAAUUAAGGAGCUUUUCAAUAAGGUGGCCAUUGUUUUGCCUGGACAUAGCAUUUAAUCUGCAUUGCAAUCAUGAACAUGGCUACUAAUGUUUGUUGUUCUCAGAGCAGAUCACUUAUGUCUCUUAGCAUUUAGAAACAUGAAUGUAUUAUUGAACAGUCUCCUGUAGUUAGUAGAGACAAAACUGCAGUCAAGAUUUUUUUGGGGAUUUAUCAAAUAGGGUAAAAGUUUAUGGUUUUCUGACUUUGAGAUAAUUAAAGCAUGAAACUUUGAAAUACUGCUUAUAUGCAAGGUCAAAGUCUGCUAGUAUGCUGCACCAUGAUAUCCGAGGCUAAGGCCAAUCAAGCUGCUGAGGUCUCUUUGGGCUUUGUUGCGAGGUUAUGGUAAUGCAUAAUUGUAGCAAGGCCAUUACACUUGAAUCUGAAUGUUUUUCAGUAAUGUGUGAUUGCUACUCUACAAAUUUGUAUAAAAAGAAAGAAUUAAUGUUAUAUACACUCUUGAGUGUAAAGAUUUUUUAUGCUAAUAGGUAUAGGUGUAUGAUACAUUGACAAAAAGUGAAUUUAAAAUUUGAACAGUAAUGAUGUAGCGUUCAUCUAAACCUGCUUGUGUAAAAAAAUCUUUACACUGACAGUGUAUAAAAAUUAAUCCCAAAAAGAAAACAAAGAGAAACAAAAAGGAAGAAAGAGAAAAUUGUAGUGGAAAAUGUUUUGGUAAAAGAAGCAUGCAAAAAUAGAUUCAAGACUCCUUGAAAAUUAUUGGCAUACUUUAAAGCAAUCAAAGUUCCAAAGCAAACAGCAAACAAGAAUAUCUUAUAGUUAGGAUGGCAUAGACCUGGCAAAACAAACCCAAAGCCAGCAAUCUGCUAAACUCAGCUGAGAAAUUUGGAAGGUUUUAUGGGUUUAGUUUGGCUUUGAGUUUAGUUAGGUUGGGUUGCUUAUAUUGGUUUGUGUUUGUGCCUGUUGAAUAUCCAAUUUUUAAACCAACUCAUUUACUCAACACAACAGAAUACCAUCAGCCCUAAAACGAAAUAAAUAAAUAAAUAGAUAACAUCUCAGCCUUUUCCCUCCUACAGCAGCUUUCCUUUUGUGGCUCUAGUAGUGGCUGUACGGCCAUCCAGUCUUUCAUUCUGAUAGCACUUGAGAGAAACUAGACAUACUAUGUUCAUCUAUUGUUAUAGAUAUAUUUGACAACGACAUUGAUUAUACAACUUGCUAUGCUUCAUUAGUAUUUGAAUGUUCAAGCCUUAGAUCUUAAAUGUUUUAUUUAGAUUUGAGAAAAAAAUUACCAAUGGAUUCUUUCUUGGGUUUAAAAAAGCUAUGUGUAGAAUUUGUGAGUUUUUUGCUCAGUGGCAGAGAGAAGAUAAUGGUGCCCAGAUUAUACACCCCCAUUGUAUGUGAUUUUGGUGAUUUUUGCUUCAUUGUGACCACAGAUUUGUUAUCUAUGCCAAAGUCGGAGAGUGAUUUUGAUGUCCUGGAAAGGGACGGACAACUGUCACAGUGAGCAACAGUCGAGGGGAAGGUAAUUGGAGAUGUUAGUUGUAUUUUGAGGUUAAGCUGUGGCUGUGAGGUUUUUCUGGUGAAGAAGAAAACAGAGAUGUAAAACAAAAAGUUUUGAUCAUUAUUGGCUUUUGUGGGUUCAAAUGACCCAAAGAUGAACUGAUGCAAUGUUAGUCCCCUAACCAGUUGGGCAAGGUGGGUUAUGAUCCAUUUUUCGAAAACCCACUUCUGGUCUGUCAAGUACAAUUGGAUGCACCCUAUUGCCAUCACAAGGAUGGCAGCAAGAAUUGCAGAAGAAAUACUGGAAAAUGUGAUUAGUAACAAUAUUUUGGAACAAAAAAGCAGCAGCAUUAGCCAUGCAAUGAAAUAACAAAAAGCAAUAAAUAGUGUGGGAGGGAUGUUUAGUUGUCUAGAAGAAGGGAGGUACAGGCAGGGGGAUCUGUGGGUUAUUGUUACUGUUGUAAUUGGAGUGAAAGAAAAAGGAGAACUGGACACUGGGAUGGAUCUAAUUAGUGGGAUUCUGCCUGGAAAAAGAAUUGGAAGAGCAGGAAGAAGAGGAGAGGUAUUCAGAGAGAAAAAUACAGCAUUCAGGUGGCCUUUUUGGGGCAAGGGGACUGUACUGUUUUGGCAUUUAGGAAGCUUUUUUCAGUUAUCCAAUUGAAUCUGAUUUUUGAAUCUUCAACACCCUUGAUUGACGAUUUAAGCAAAUUGUCAGUCAACUUAGAUUCUUCAGUGUUUGCUGCAACUGCAAAAUGGGGUGUAAGCAAAUAACAGUCAGUAAUGUAAGUGGGACUAACUAAAACAAGCACAAUUGUCAAGAGGUGCAUGUCUCGUAUGUUCUUCUUAAGUGGUUAGACUUGUAUUCACUAAAAUGACACGGCAUUUUUCUGUGGCCAUAGCAAUUUGGUUUGAUUUAUGCUGUCAGGAAAAGCUCUAUUCAUUAAGGCUUAGCUGUUUUGGAGGUUAAGAACUUCCUAAUUUUAUGGAUUUAUCCCCUGUGCUUCAUCAUAUGCAGGUUUGUUCGUAAGAGAUUGAGCUUUAAUCCAAAAAUUGUAUUUUUAUGAGGUUGACAUGAGCUGUAGAAGGCUAAUGGCUAAAAUCUUUGAUAUCUAAGUCAAUAUAUACUUUCCAUGAUCUAAAAUUCUGAGUUUGCUGAGCUAUUUGUCUCCGGUGUUGACAUGAUAAAGCCCUUAUGUUAUUGCCUUUCCACUCAGUUAGAGAUCAUCUUCCCUGUAUGCUUGCGUUAUGAAUUUGAUAUAAAUUUGACUCCAGAGAUGACUUAUUAUCUGUUCAUUAAGGAUUCUGGCUAUGGUUGCAAUUCUUUUUUGCUUGUUGUCAAGUAGCUCUUGCCUAAGCAACCUUCCAAGAUCCACUUACUUUUCCUCUUUGUGCCGAAUUUUGACAUGCCUUUCAAAAUUUAACAGGAUUGAAUGGUAUUACUAUUACAUUUAACAGUCAUGUUUGAGAUAUCCUUCUAUUGGUUUCCAUUAAAAUAGGGAAGGCGUGUUUACCUUCUAAGAAAUUACUCUUGUUUAUUCCUGUAAAUCAGUAGGGUAUAAACAAGAACUGAAAAAGAUUGCUACUGCUUGUCGCUUUGUAAGAUGUAGCCUAACAGAGAUGGAUUCUUUGAUUUGGCCUUUCAAUAUUGGUGUUCUUUUUUUUUUUUUUUUUUAAACCCUCAACUUUCUUUCUGCAUGUGCUCUGAUUUGAUAUUAUGUAUCAAGUUCAGCUUUUUCAUCUCUAGUAUCGACCUCUUAUCUUGUAUUUUUUCUUCCAGGAUAACCUUCUGAGGAAGAUUGGAGACCAGAGUCCACUUUUUGAUUUCUUGAGAUUGCUGUCAUCCAAGUGCUCGUUAAACAUAUUUAGUUCUAGGCAUGUCAGCUGUAUCUUAGACCAUCUUACUUUUGAUAAGAGCAUUCGCAAUACAAAAUUGGACUAUUCUCCUCUGCUGCUUCUUUCAGUAAGUUGGAUUGCUCAUUAUACAACUUAAGUUGAUCUCUUUCUUCUUUAUGUAGCUACAUGGUGCUGCACUUAUUGCCUUUUUUUAUAUCUAAAAUUUUUGUGGUGUCUCACUGGACAUGAACAAGAUGCGGAGGUAAAAGAUAUUAGGUUUUCAUCCUUUCCUUCAAUCAAUUCUCAAUCAAGCGCAAAUUUGUGAUUCAAGCAUAAACGAUUAAAUUCACAGAGUACCACAAUGCCCUUGUCCAAAGAGGGGGAAAAAAGGUUCCAGUCAAUUGAUAGCCAAAAAGGAAAAAGAUUGCAGUAGAAUUACAUUUAGUGUUGUUAAAGUACCUAUAUCUGCCUGUGUUACCACAUUGCAAACUUUUAAUAUCUCCUUAUGUGAAACUGGUUGCAGAGAACCUGUCUUGAUUGGUUGAGUAUAAGCAUACUUUUGGAAAAAAAUGACCAGGACCUUGAAACGCUAGUGCAUUUGUGAGAAGUAAGUUUGGUGUCUGUUUUAAAGCUUAGUGUUUUGACAAUUAAAUUCUCCUUUAAUUGAGAACUUCAUAACGAUAUGAAAGAAUGGAAUUCUAGUUUGGAAAAUAAUGCACCUGACAAUCCACGCAAUGCAGAUAUGCCCUACCAACUUGGUGUGUUAUACAAUGUUUGCAACCUUGUUGCAGUGACAAAGUCUAUGUAGUAUACUGUAUGGGAAUUUUUUUUCCCAAUAUGAAUGCAGAAGGUUUGGCUGUAGCUUUAUAUGCUUCCAGUUAACUAAGAAACCUUCUACUGAGUUUCCACUCAUGUAGAAUGAUAAAGUAGGAAAUAUUAUCCUGUUCCAAUUAAACUUUUUUUUUUAAUAAAAUUGAUGGAGUAAGGGGCAAUGUAGAAGCACAAGCAAGACGCUUGAGUUAUUGGAAGUAGUCACUCUAAUUCUCAUCUAGCAAGAAAAGUUUUUGCCUUUUAAGUGAAGUGACAGGCAGUAGAUUAUUUCUUAAUUUUCCAACAAUUGGACUAGUGGAUGCAGUUUCCAGGGUCUAGAAGAGUUAUGAUGGUGGCAAAUAUUUCCUUUACACACUGUUUCAAGAUAAUUCUCAAUAGUUGUUGGAAGUACUCAAGCAUAAGGAGUGUAUCUGCAAUUAAAAAGCCUUGCUAUCAAAGAGUUUUUUAAUAAGCAGAAAUAAGCGUCUCACUUAAAUUCAUGUGUAAUUUUAACCACAAUAGCCUCCAGAUCAGCUACAAGGGAACAAGGGCUCAGAUAAAUGGGGAAUGGAUCUAAUUGGUGCAGUUGCAUGACAAUCUCAUAGUUACUGCUGUCUCUCAUUGGGUAAAAUAGGGGAAUCCUGGAACAGCAGUAGCUAAAUGGGAUGCUUUUUUCAUACUAUCUUUUGCACAUAGCCAUGCAUGCAUAAGAAGUAGAUGUAUAAGCAAAAGAUGUAAUUUCUAUAGAUUUGCCACAUAUAUGUAUUUUGGUUUAUCCUUUGGUUAUUAAGGAUGGAAAGAAGACCUGUUUUGGUCUGUUCUACUGGACUCAUAUAAUGAUAUUCCAGCAGUAUGUCUCAUGCACUAAAGUCAAAUUUUCGUUUACCUUGUAUAGGCUAUUAUCAGUGCUUUUCCCUCACUUCUUAGAAGUUCUGAAGAGAAGUUCCGGCAAUUGUUAGCUGAUGAAGAUAUCCCUUUCAACGAGCAGCUUAUUCAGUUUCUAGCAAAAGAAGGAUCAAAUAUUUCUAUCAAGCUGAGGUAGGGUUUUCCCGUCUUAAUGUCAUUGUGGCAUUUGGUAAGAUGUACACUGCGGUAUAAUGGGUUUUAUAGUUAUUAUCUUCUGUAGUUUACUUUUCAUUUGAACUCAAAAAAAUAUUUUCCAGGAAGAUAGCUUGUUGAGAUGCAUAUUCUAAUAAAAUUUGUUAAAAAAAAAAACAACGUACUAACUGUUUAUUAUCGGAGUGCUUCUAUUUGUUAAGAGUAUUUUUUAUUUUUAAACAGGAAGUGUAUCCCCAUCCAGAAUGGACAUGUGAUUACUGGCAAAUUUUCUAAUGCAAAAUUGUGUGUGUGUGAGAGAGAGAGAGAGAGGGGGAGAGAGAGAGAGAGAGAGGCAGACAGAAACAGAGAGUCUACAUGCAUGAGUGUGGGUAAGCUAUGCUUAUUUGAAAAGCAGUCCUGAAUUCCAGUUGAGAAUUUUUGUUAAUUGGCAGAAAGAAGAGGUCCACAAACACAAGGCUUAUUACUCUAUCUGUCUGUCUAUCUUUUGGAUGUUUAUGUUACUUUAGACUAUUAGUUCUGUAUUGUCCUUUUUGUUACUAUUUUGAUUGGUUAUAUGGAAUUUAUCCAUGUAGUGAUUGUUACAAUUUUUUGGAGAGGGUGCGCUUGGAAGGGACUCAAGCAGAGGCUAAACUUGCUGUGUCUGCAAUUGCAGCUUUAAGUGAUUCUUCUGAGGAAGUCAUUGUCCCAAAUUUGUGUAAGGUAUUGUCUAUCUCAUUUUCUGUAUGUUGAUGCAGUUUUAAGUCAUGUAAUCAGCAUAGGAACUAAACUAAGGUGAGUGACCUGUUUGGCCUAGAAUAUUCAUUGCAUAAUAAGAUAUGUACUUUUGGGGCUUUGUUUCAUCAACUAAGCCUAGUUCUCUGCUGUAGUAUGAUUAGAAGCAUGAAUUUUGGUAAACAUCCAGAUCUGAUGAAAUCUCAUGCAUUCAUGCAUUUACUUAAUACACGAAUGGAUGAAUUAAUGGAUAAACUUCAUGCACUUGUUUUAUCAUGCUUUUGCAUUUUUUGUCUUUGAUGCAUAAAUUUUCUCUUUAUGACAUUGUUAAAGUAGGUUUUUUAUUUUAUUUUUUUCCUUUUUCCUUUUUAUGAGGCAAUCUGGUUCUUGUAUGCCAUGAACAGGCAUCAUAUGUCAAACAUCAUCAAGUUCUGUCGGUUCAAAGUGUUGCAGAUAGUAUAUGCAGUUUAUCUUGUUGAUGCAGUUGUCCUUGUAUUUUAUGUUUUAUGCAACCAAGUUGUUGACCUACAACAUGAUUGCAACCUCUUUGUUCUUAAAGAGAUGAUGCUAUACUUGAUAGUAGUGUUGAAAGGAAAAAAAAAUAAUGAAAGUUAUGGAGGAAUUAACGGGCAGUAAAAUGAUUUUCAAAAUACUAGUAUAGUAGAUGGGCUUUCUUAAUCUACUUCAUUUGGCGAGAUUAUGAGAACUUGUGUUUUUGCUCUCACCUAUGGCAGCAUCGCGAAAGACAAAACUUUGACCCACUUGGCCAUAUUAGGUCUGCUAUGUAUGUGAUGAUUUUUUAAGUUUUUGUUAUGGUAGUGCCUUUCUGGGUCAUUCCAGUUGGUAUUUGAUCAGGCUCCAUGUGGUUCUAUGAUAACAUUAACUGGGCCUCUCAGGGCUUCAAUAAGGCAAGUUAUUAUGCGAGUAGGGGUCAUUGCAUUUCGUAUUAAGUUAGCAUCUGUGUGGUCUUUGUGGGGAUUAGCAACAACUUUCUGGGUGUCAACAAGGAAAGUUGUUAAGCUAGUGCAGAGGGUUGUCCCCCUUUAGUUUAAGCUCCUGACAUGACCAUUGUGUUAAAAGAAACAGUGUUUGAACUGUUUUAUACACUGUUGAGGAGGGUUAAGGUAUGUAUUAUGAACACUGUCAGAUAUAUAUUAAAAUAAAAAAUGGAACUUUUAGUACUACCUUAAAUUUUGAAAAUACACCAGUGAACUUUUAAAGUUUGUUGUCAUUAUACAUCGAGAUAAACUCAGGAAAAUUACAGUUUUGGAGUAUUAGAACAAACUUUUAAGUUUAUUGUUCUCAACAUAUAUUAAGAUAAACUGAGCUGAGAAAUCUAAAUCUGGCAUCUUACUGAUUUUUUCAUGUGAAUGCUUUUUGGAAUUUCAUGUUAAUGGUGGAUUAAGGUUUACUAGUGAAGGAGUUUCAGUCAGGCCUUCAGAAUAUUUAAUCUUCUGUUUAGUAAUUUUAACUUGACGCACAAACAGAAGUGAUCUUAAUUUUCAAGAACUUUGGGUUCUUUCAGCUGUGGGCUCCACUGAAACUAGAUUCAAACUGAUUCAGACCCAGAUUACUGGCAUGGAACAAAAUGAGAUACCAUUUCUAAUUUCUUUCUCCACAGAACUUGUCAUUGCACUACUGCAAUCUUUUAUUCUCUCUCUCUCCCCCCCCUAUAUCUGAAGCAUUUUGUGUCUGCCAUGUCUCCCUAUCUGCCUUCCAUAUUUGGGCCAAAUAAUCCUUUUGUCUUAAUACUGGGCAAUAGUGGGACCCAAACCCAUGAUGCUUGUGCCAUAUCUGAAUCAUCAGGGAAAUCUUUGGGGCAAGUAUUAUUGGGAAGUUGACUCGUAAUUUUGGAACUCAGACUUCUCAAGUAAAUUAAUCAUGUUCUUCUCAUUAUUCAUCUGCUAUUAUGCUCACAAUAAUUAUGCAUAUUUGUCUUGUUCUUAUUUGUCAGACUUCUUGUACUAUCAAGAAACAUAGUGAACAAUGUUUAAAGAGUUCUUUGACUAGUGAUGCCAACAAAUCUGCCAAUUCAAACUUGACACUAUCUAAGAGUGCUGAUGCAUCAAGAAUUUGGAUAGAGGGUUUACAGAAAACUUCGCAUCAGGAGGUUCAUUCUGGAGGGACUGUUGAAGUGCACAAUGAGUCCUCUGUCGAUAAUCAGCAUGAAAUACAUGCAAGUGUAAUAUCUGAAUCCAUCAUGAGUAAAGAACGAGUUGGAUCUUCUUGUGACUCUGUAGCAACAAAACCCACAUUGGGCUUGAAGGAAGACUUUCCAAGCUGUUUACAAGAGAGGGACAUGAAUAUGACAUAUAACAGCAAUACUGAUAAAGUUGCCAAAUUGUCAACAGCCAACCACAAGAAAGUUAAUUUAGCCAAGGUUUGUGUAUUAUUUAACUCUAAAAUGACUAGAAAAAAUUUUUUGGGCUAAGUGCCUGGAAAAUUAUGUUCUGUCUACAAUUGUUGAUUGUCCUACUGUGAUUUGUCGGACUACUAUAGGAAAACAAAGACAAGGGUGAAGCAUCAGAUGUUGAGCACCGACAAAUGCGAGCUUCAACUCAUUAUAGGUGAGAACCUGCAGGUGAAGUUGCUCAGUUGUGAAACACUGUCCUGUCUUUAUGUAACAGACUUCUCGUUCUUUUACUUCUUAAUUAAAACGCGGCUAGUCUGGUGAAUUUGAUACCACCAAAUUUAGUAGGCAAUCAGGAUGAAUUGCCAGUUGCUUGGUUUAAUACACAAAUCAAUUCUAACAUCCGUUGAUUUAAACCAAUUAAACAUAUGAUAGCAAUAAUAAUCUAUUCAUUGGGACUGAGAUCUUAAAACCAAAUAUCUCCUUUGAUUCCAAAUUUUAGUUCAAGAGUUUGAAUUUAACUAUUUUGGUUGACCUAAAAUGACUUGUUUGACUGAAGCAUUGACUUGUUCAGCAUUUGCUGAAAAUACAAAAUAUGCCAAGCACUAAACUCAACAAGACACAAAGGAAACAUUGAAGCCUAAAUUUAACAUUGAACACUAAAAAGAAGUAUAUAUGACCUUGGGCCAGGCCAAAGCUUCUUUUGAAUAACGUAUAUUCUGUCUUAGCCUAAAAACUUCAGUAGUGCACUAGAGGACCAUUAUUGGUCCUGGUUUGGAUUUGGAUUGGUCCAGUUCCAUUGAUGUAAAAAACAAUAUAAAUUUAGUGCUAGACCUGUUCAUAAGAUCCAACCCAUAUUUGAUUAAUAGGUUUCACAAGUAGAUUGGUUAGAUCUGCUUGUUGCCCUGUGACAAGGAGCAUACCUGAUUAUGUAUGUGUGUAUUAGUUAUCUUAUGUUUAUUACCCCUUAAAAGUAUUUAUAACUAUUAGCCAUUGGAUUGCACCUCCAGUACUCUCUAUCAUUUAAAUCUGUGAAACUCUACCCCCAUUUAUGGCAUUUUGCAGCUUCUUCACCUAUGCACCACAUCCCAGUGCAAUCUCUCUCUCUCAUGUGCAGACAGACAUAUUCAAAAAGGACAAUACACGAUGUGUGUUUCUGUGUAAAUAUAUAAAAAAUUUGCUUAUUCUGGGCUCAAGCCAACUUGCUUUAGGUGAGUUGGCCACCAAGUGAAGCAUAAGGUGCAGGCCUGGCUGCAGGUCUGGGGUUCAAACCUCUGCGCCCUGCAGGAAAAUCCGAAGGAUGUACGGUAGUGCACCCUUUUGGUCCAGAGGUGGAAACUGCUCCUUGUAGCCCUCCUUUGCCUAGUUGGGCCCUCCCUUAGAUAGGUUAGAGUAGGAGUAGGAGCAGUAGACUUGACGAUUGACCAAAAGGAAUAAAAAGCUUAUUCUGGGCUCAUAUGUGCAUAUCUACCGUGGUUCUAGUAGUGCCUCUCUCACAGGAAUAGAUUCGUAACUUUGGAAAUUUUGAACUUUCUUUCCUUAUUGACACUUUAACUCAAGCGUGACUUUAUGGAAAAUCAGUUCUUGGUUUCUUUAUGAUCAAUAAUUCAGUAUUUCACUUUUAUUUUUUUCCUAAUUUUGUUAUUAAUUAUUUUUCCAGCUUCAGUUUUGGUGUGAAUGGUCUGUUUGCAGUGAGAUCACUUUCCUUCACUAUAAUGGUGUAGCAAAAAUGUUAAAAUAAUUAAAGUGGAUAAUAGCCAUAGUGACUCUUGAUGAAUAUUAACUAUCAAACUUGAGAAUUGAGCCAAGAGUCCGCCUAAUGAUGGUGCUACAUCUAAAUAUAUUGAAUCCUUUGAAAUGGUUUUGGAGUGAACUAUGGAUGAAUGUGCUCCAUCUAUCUGUGAUUUAUGUCACUGAAACUUUGUGUCAUUGUGGUACUAGACUUUUCACAUUGGUGGUUGGCCAACUUCACUGAACAUCUAAUACCUCAGUACCAUAUUUUGGGUAUUACAUUUCACCCAAUGUGGGUCCAGCAAGGCAUCUGCAUGUUUUAGGACUGUAGGAAUAUGGACCGGAUGAUGCACAUGUCAAUCUAUCUGAUCUGGAUCCUAAAAGAUGUCUCGUGGAUCGGCCUGCUUAUAUCUCUAUCCGCUUAUACGAGACCUUAUUCUGUAAAACUGUAAAGUUAGAUCCAUUUUCCUUCUGAUGGUGAAUUAAUGAACCAGAAGAAUGUUCAAUCUACAUACCUCCAUUGUUUUCCUCAUUGGACUUUAUUCAUAAAGGGUAGCAAAACUCCACAACUUUUUUUUCUCUCUUUUCCUUUUUAAAAGACAUGUAUUGCUAGGAUUAUACCUGAAACUGAAGAUUAAGACAUUCCUUUAAUAUUGUGGACCCAAGCUUUUUAUGCUAUUCAGCUGCCUCUGCCCUCAAACCUAUUUAGCCUUUCAGGUCAUCUUCCUUUUAUUUUCAGUUCUUUAAUCACGUGUAUAGGAAUACCUGAUUUGCAAAAUCUUUACAUUGUGGUUAUCAAUCUGAAAUUUCCCUUGUAUAUGUAUAUGCUUCCACCUUACUGGAAAGUACCUUUGAUAUAUUUGGCUUUGAUUCACAAUUGCUUACUAGUAUUUUUGUUAUUACAACUGUCAUGGCUAUAGGAUGUAUAGCUUGAAUGGGUCCUAUGAGAGAUUAUGUUUUUCCAUAUUAUCCUUCAUGAUAGAUGGUUGAUUUUACCCAUAUAUUUGUGUUCCACUGUCGAAAAUAUAUUAUUUUUAACAAGAUUUGACAUGGAUGAUUAAAGUUUCGCGGAAUUGCUGUUUUGUUUUUGGUGGCCGUCUAGUCUAAGGCUUCUUUAAAUAAAGGCGUAAGGAGAAGGUUCUCCAGAAGUAGAGCGAGAGAAAAUCAAUAUGAUAUUUGCGUUGGUUUUUCCAACGAAACCUUACACUUUUUUCUUUCUCAUUCGUGACUCUGGCUUUUAUCCAUCAUCUUUAAAGUAGUCUGACAUUUUUUUGGCUCUCUUCUUUUGGCAUGGUCGAGAUGGAAUGAUGGGGAGAACUCUUCUGUCCACAGCAAAAGGGAAACCUCUGGUGCAUGUGACUCUGAUUGCGAAGGAAACUCACUCAAGAAGACAAAAUUUUUUGCUGAAGAGAUUCCUCUGCCUGGUAAUCUCUAGAUAUGUCUUAAUUAAAAUCACAAUAAUUCAAUUUAUCUUGAAAAUUUAUAUAACAUGAAAGCAUCUUGUAUAAAAUUCAACACCUGUAUCUCUUUUUUGUCAAGCCAAUAACUUAACUGUUGUUGGCUCUGUUGGCCAUUAUUUUGUGGUGCUCCUCUACUGCUGCACUGCCGUCUGAACAUUACUUAUGUUUUAGUGUGCUUUAAUACUAUUUUCUUCUCUGUGAUAUAUAUCGGUCAAUGUUCUUGGUCAACGCAUGAUACUUUGUGGAACUACAGUUUCCAUUAGAGAGCAGCUAACAGGUUCUAUUAAAAACUAAACAUUACAGGGGAAGUUACGUUAAGGAUUUUGAAUAACUUUUGAAGGGUGCAGAUAACAUAUUAUGUUGGUGAUAUGGAUACAUAGUGUGACAUCUCUGACUUCUAGCUGCAGAGAAUACUAAGAAGAUACGAAGAUCAAAAGUUGCGGCAUCUAAAGCCAUCAAUGUGAACAAGGACAUGGUAAGGUUCUUCUGGCGUUUUUCUGUUUGUGCUUGAUAUGCUUCUAAUAUCCACAAGCUUCUUAAGAUAAAGUUUUAUUCCCAUAAGUUAGCAAUUUCUAAUGACCACAGCUUCCAUCUAAAUAAACAAUCUAUAUUGUUCGUCUUUGCGCAACAAACAACUAAUCUCUACAUCAUAUUUUGUGAUGACUCUUGUGUUGUAUCAUUUCAGAUUGCACGGAGGACUCGAAGACAGAAAGUUUAACUUGGUUAACUGUUCUAUUAACGUUCUUGUCAGUAAAUUGUUUGUCUCUAUGCCAUAUGACAUGUUUUAGUGAAUUCAUACUUUCACUAUUAGUGCAUAUGUGCGACUUUUUCAUCUUGUUUAUGGAGCUCUGUCACAAAUAUAGUAUCCCUAGGUUGGGAUGCUCCUUUGUUAUGUAUUUCGUGUACAGAUGAUGCAGAUUGUUGGAAUUACUGUUGGAUUUUAGAUUGACGCCCAGUCUGAGGACUGAAAAGUUUUUAGCUGAUUGAACAAUUAACAUUCCUUGUAAUUGUUCAGUUGAAAUUUUGUUUAUCAAGUCCGGCCUUGGAACUCUACUUUGAGGUUAAAUGAUAUGUGUACCCUCUGAUUCUUUUCAAUUUCAUGAGGGGUAUCUCUUCUUUUUGGUUUAUGGAAUGGAAAAGACUAAGCGGUAAGUGAAAAGCGGAUGUAGGAAUAUAGAGUAAAUAUCCAUUUCUAAUGGUGUUAACACAAGGGGGGAAAAAGGCUUCGCAUUAUUGGGGUAUUUUCUAAAAAUUUUAAAAAUCUCCCAUCACCACCCCCUUCUUCCUCUCUCCUACUUCCUCUUCCUCCCUCUUCCUUCCCUCCCAUUUCCCCUACUUGCAAAACCCUCCACCUCCCUUCCAGAAGCCAGUCACAAUCAGAGCUUCUCAUUGUGGGAUGGGGAGGGUUUUUGGGGAAAGGGGAGGGGAGGAAGAGGGAGGAGGAGAAAGGAAAAAGGUAUUUUUUAGUAUUAUUGAAGCCGAUACGGUAAACAUCAAACUGUCCGAGACCGGUAUUGUUGUUAUAACCACCCCAAGCCAGACCACCAAUGUGCUUCUAAAAACCAAGCCAGCCUCUCCAACUGCCACCUUCAUCAUGGCUGCCGCCUGCCACAGCCUACUUUACAGGGCUAGGUACCUUUGACAAUUCUACUAUUGCCAGGAUCCCUGAAUGCCAAAACCAUGCUUCCCACGCAAACAAAACGGUCAUAAACCCAACCCUGCCUGCAGUGAUUGGCACUGGCUUUCUUGCAAACUUCACCAGGAAAUUCCGUAGCUUAGUCACAGCUGAAUUUCCAGCAAACGUUCCACAGACCAUGCAAAAGCGGUUUUUCUUCACCAUAGGACUUGGAUCGAGUCCUUGCCCUGCUAACAAAACUCGCCAAUGAUCAAAUGGCACAAAAUUUGCAGCUUCGGUUAACAAUAUUUCUUCCGCUCUCCCAUCAACAGCUCUUCUGCAAUCCUACUUCUUUGGGAAAUCAGGUAAAUCAAAUGGUGUUUUCACCACUGAUUUCCCAACCCCAACCCACAAAUCCAUUCAACUAAACUGGAGCACCGCCGAAUAAAACACCAGUUAGCAAUGCAACCCGGACUGUCGGGUUACAAUUUAGUACGUGUUGCAAGACACUAGCAUUCUGGGGGCAGAGAGCCAUCCUUUUCACCUGCAUGGUUUCAACUUCUUCAUCGCUGGGGAGGGUUUUGGAAACUAUGAUCCAAACAAUGACCCUUCCAAAUUCAGACUAGUGGAUCCAGCGGAAAGGAAUACAGUGGGGGUUCCAUCAGGUGGCUGGAAUGCCAUUCGCUUCUUUACAGACAAUCCAGGUACCUAGCAAGAAAAACAAGAUGCACCUCUUACCAGAAAGAAAUAUAUUCAACUUUAGACCAGAUCAAUGGAUUUUCAAGUACUGAAAAAAACACAUUGAUAUGUGGUCAUACUGCUGUUUCUCUGUUGAGCUAACAUACUUGUACUGAUUGUUUACCAUGACAAACAGGAGUAUGGUUUAUGCACUGCCACUUUGAUGUGCACAAGAGUUGGGGUUUGCGAAUGGCAUCAUGGAUUUGUACCUGCUGUUAAUUAAUUUAAGUUUCUGAAACAAGUAUUGCUGAAGCCUUAAACAUGUCUCUUAUCAACUAUACAGGGUGGACUGGGAACAUCUCUAUGUCAUCUCAUCUCUUCAUCUCUAGGUCCUAUUUCAUUGGAGAUGAACUAUCUUCUCAUGCAAAAAACAAAAUUUGAAACUCUUAUUAGUAUUGCAGUUGAAGCUGUUCCAGAAAUUCGAACAUUUUCUCACUCUGGUUUACGGAGUUUUGCAUUAGAGUGACAAUACUAACACUGAUUAAAUACUCUUGUCUCUGCAGGAAGAGAAUUGCAAGGAAAAAAGUAUUGAAAUACUAUUAUCUGCUCAAAGAACAUCAACAACGUUUAUUAGCAUAGGGACCCGUGAAAAAUAAAGCAUACAAUUCAGCCAGAGAACAACUAGGACUCUAUAGGAGGCUCCCCGUGCAUAUGAAAUUUUAGUCUUGCCCAAUUAUUGCCCUCUAAUGAUAAAUUUUCUAUGAAAAAAUACAUUAUUGCAAUUGUAAAAGAUUUCAAACUAUAAAAAGUUGCAUUUACAAUUUGUGACACUAGAAACUUUGACCUUUGUUCAUAGUCAAGGAAUUCAGAAUAAAUAGGUGAAGUAAUAAAAUCAGUCUUGCAGAAUCUUAUUGUAACAUGAAUAUGAACUUUCUUGGUUUCGAUGAAUACAUAUUUUAACUCGACCAAAAGCAAAAACUUUCUUCUCCUAAAGAAAAUUUUACACCGCUAACCCUUCCUAGUCAUAUAUUACAGCAGUAAUUGUGCUAUAGGAUGAUGUCCCCGAAUAGGUAGAUGAUUACUUUUUCAAUUCAUGGAAACGGGAAAAAAUAAAUUGUCAUCAUCACUAACAAGGAGGAUAAAGCAAUACAAAUAAAAUAAAUUUGGAUGGCAAUUUCAAUAGAGGAGAAAUAUUUAGAACUUUUUUUUUUUUUUUAAUUUUCCCGCCCCUCCCACAACUUUCCCAGCACUAAUUGUCAGGCACAGAAUUUGAACACUAAAUCUGAAAAAGACUAUAGAAUCCUCUUCUGGCCAUCAUAGUAGUUGAAGUGUUGAGAACUUAACAAGUGGUAUAAAAGUUAUUCAUUUUGAUUUUUUUUUUGGGGUGUUCUAAGGGGAGGGACUAUUUGAUAGGAAAAGAGGGGGAGUAAUUUGCGCCAGAAGCAUCACUUUCAAUUAUACUUUCAAGCCUCAUCUAAUCUAACUCAUAGCCAGCUGAGGAGGACCGCUUGACUCUUUAGUCAGAAUGGUGGUGCUACAUACUAUCUUUUUUUUUUUUUUUGGGUGCAGGUACGACCUCGUCUAUUCUUGUAUUUAAAAAAAAUAUUGCUGAUCCAACCUUGUCAUUAUAGUAAAAAUACCACAUAAACUAGAACUAAUUCAAAGUACUAGUUGAAACAUUUGUCAGUUGUGUCCAGUUUGGGGCCACUUUUAAUUAAGGUGGUAGAUAUAAGAAUCAUCAUAUUUGUAACUCUCACCUACACAAUGAUUACUAGUUUAGUAAUUACUAAUACUUCUUAUGCCUAAAAGACAAACAAACUAAUUGAUAUUUGAGUCGAGUUCCGUUCGAUAUGAGUUCAACCAAACUUGAAUAGUAAUUUAUAUUUGAUAAAUGGUCAAGUUUUGUUUGAGUUUGGUUCGUUUAGUAUACUAAAUGAAAUGUAUAUGUAAAAAUAUUCAAGUUACUCGAGUUUGACUUGAAUUUGUUUUGACAUAAGCUCGUUAAAACUUAGUUCGAAAAGCUAACAAGUCAAGUUUUAAUAAAUUUCAAAAGUUGUCAAACUAAUUAAACAAGUUUGAAAACUAGAAUGUUUGGUUUAUUUAAACUCAUUUACAUCCUUAUCGCUACUAAUAGUUUUAUUAGGCCACGGUGACCCACAUCACGUCUAAUGACUGUUUGUUUCAUUGUUGAGAGAACUAUUUCUGCCAUUUUGAUUUGAAAGAUGUUAAUUAACCAUCACUGAGAGGAGUUCAUUAGUGUUCAUGAAUUAUGUGAAGAAGAUUGCGAUCGACUAAAACGUCAUGCUAAUGGAUCUCUCACUCUCCCCUCCCUAAUAACCCCAAAUUUCUGAGCAUACAGAACGGCACUUACUAUAAACUUUUUACCAUACUGGAUCAAAUUUUCCUAUUCCAUUUAUAGGCAGUUUUCAUAGAACUUUUAAGCAAUUAAUAUUACCAUUUUGUAUAGGAGUAGUUGGCCAUCAAGAGAGUUUUGAGGCUCUAUUUGGGUGUAGGUCAAGGGAUCAAAUCCCUCCUGCAUUCUUAAAAAUUCAGAAUUUUCUUAAAAAAUUUUGCCAGUAAGGCGUAGGCACCCGUCUAGACUAAUGGUGGUUUGGUUCCCUCCGAAUUCCCCAUUGACUUGUUUAAGUCGCUCCCUCCCCCUAGUAUAAAGUAGAAGUAGGUGUGGCAUAGAAUUUAUCGUGUACAAAAAAAAAUGUUACCAUUUUGUUCUUUAUCAUUUAUCUUUAACAGUAUAAACAUUUACUGAAGCAGAAAGGAGGAACUUGUAAUUUCAUUCUAACUGUGACUCUGGUAUACGUCAAACUUGUGCUGUUCUUGCCUGGAGAGACAAAAAACCGAUGCCAUUUUAUUUAGCUUUCGAAUUUGGAAAAGGAUUCUGAUUAUUGUGUCAAGUGAAACCACAUGAUUUGGGAUUUUCUAGUCGAUGAGCAGUGAAAAGUGCAAACCCUUGGCCUUGGUUUUAAUGUGUUAUAGGUCCUUUUUGGUUAAGGCUUUCGGAUUGGAGGUAAGAGCAAUUAAUAGUUCAAGGAAUUAAUGUUGAAAAUGAAAAUUUUUGACAAAUUAAAAGCUUAUAAGAUUUAGAAUCUCCUCUUGAAAUUAAAAAAAAAAAAAAAAAACUUAAGUUAACUUUUUUUCACUUUUUUUAUAAACUCUCCUAACUCUCCUCACAUCCUCCCCAUCUCAAUUGCUAGGAUUUGAACCCUGAGUCGAGUAGUGGGAAUUUGACUCCUAGAUUUAAGUUAACUUCUUGUGUACAUAGAAAAAUAAAAUAGAACUUUUUGAAUUAGUCUAUUUCAUGUUGAUUUACUUAUAUGACUUUUAAUAUGUGUACAAGUAAUUAUCAAUAAUUUGCACUAAUAUGUUGUGUUUACGAUCUAAGUUUUGAUAGUCUUUUGGUAUUAAAAGCUAUUUCAGCCUUUCAAUCCGAUUUUAAUUUGAGUAUCUACUGAAGUAAAUUCCCAAAAAAGGGGAUAUUUUAAAAUCAUUUCCCAAAAGUCGGUGUUUUUUAAACUUCUUUUCAAAGGGUGAAUGAGUUAUUUUCUCAAAAGUUACAUAGGAUGCGUUUUUUUUUAUUUGUCUGCGCAUUUUUUUUUUCUUAAAAAAUGCAUUCACUCAAUGCGUUGUUUAAAAGACGCAUUCAGAAUUCUCACUAUUUGGAAACUUCUUUUGAAAAUUACCACCAUUUGAGAAUUACUCCUAUCGACUAACUACAAAUGUCUUUGGUAUAUUACCAAACGAAAAAAAUGUCUUUAGCAUCGUCACUGGACAGACAUUCAGACAAGUCGAAGCAGGAGGAGUUGGGUAGCGGUCGAUGAUCUGCCGCUGCGUAACGGACAAUUCAACGCAGAGGAGCCAACCCCACAUAUAAAAUUCUACCAUUACUUGCCUCAAUAAUAAAUUCAGUUAAAUUGAAAGUCGUUGUUUAGGUGGCCUUUCAUAUUGGAGUUAGCUCCAAAGUCAUCAAACAAAAUAGAAAGGAGGCCCACCUUUUUUUUUUUUUUAACCCGACAUGAAACGCGUGGAACGACCUUAAUAUGUGUAAAUUCAUAGACUCGUUAAUAUUAAUUGGUUCAAUUGUUAAGAAUGGAUCAUUUAUUUGAUAGAAGAUUGACGUGAAAUUACACUGAUGAGUGACUUAUAAAAUUUUUUAUAAAUAAUUAUAUUUUAAACUGUGGUGAUAGAAAUCGAAUCUAUCAUAAAAAGUCUCCUAGACUCAGAAUCAAAACAAAACAGGCAUCCCACAGUAUACUUUGACGACUCUCUCACGGAAGAAACCCAACAGUUAAUCCUCGGUUACUAACUUCUUAUGAAUCACUUGUCUCCACUUUCUUUUUCCCUUUCCUACCACUCAGCCGCAGUCCAGCCAAACCAAGAAAAAAUGCAGUUUCUGGUAUGGAACCAGGAGGCUGAUAUGUCAGGUUGAUGGGUUAUAAUCUCUUUCCCUGUCCCCUUCUCAAGCUUAUGGGUUUCUCAAACAACUGCAUCCAAUGAGGAUUCAUCUCUUUCCUUGGCUUUUCUUCACAGCCUUACUCCAAAUUUUAUCAGUCAGACAUGUUGUCUUGGCCUCUGGUCAAUGUCUUGAAGAUCAGAGGUCCCUGUUGUUGGAAUUCAAGAACAGCCCCACGUUCAACUCCACGAGUUCAACCAAACUGGUGCGCUGGACCAACAGCAACGACUGCUGCCUUUGGGAAGGGGUAGGUUGUGAUAGCUUGGGCCAUGUGAUCUGGCUGGAGCUUGAGAACCAAACAAUUUCUGGUCCACUAGAGAGUUCGAGUAGUCUGUUCAAUCUUCAGUUUCUUGAGAGAUUGAAUUUGGCUGUCAACAGGUUCAGCUCUGCUAUUCCCACUGAAUUAUCUAAACUUACAAAACUGACGUACCUGAACUUGUCUGAUGCUGGUUUUGUUGGGCAAAUUCCGGGGGAUUUGGCUAGUAUGAGCACGCUGGUUACUCUUGAUCUCUCAACCCGUUUUCCUGGAUUUCAGCCACUGGAAAUGGAGAAUCCUAAUCUACAAACGCUUAUUCAGAACCUCACAGAGCUCCGAGAACUUUACCUGGAUGGUGUCAAAAUUUCAGCUCAGGGGGGUGAGUGGGGCAAUGCUUUAUCAUCUUUACUAAAUUUAAGAGAAAUCAGCUUGUCCAACUGUCAUCUUUCUGGUCCUAUCAGCUCAUCCCUUUCAGAGCUCCAUUCACUCUCUGUCAUCAACCUUAACGACAACAACCUCUCCACUGCAGUUCCAGAAUUCUUUGCAAAUUUCGCAAAUUUGACAUCACUGAGUCUCAGCUCUUGUAAUCUAUUGGGAGAAUUUCCUGAGAAGAUACUCCAGUUGCCAAUGUUGCAGAAUAUAGAUUUGUCAAACAAUAACUUCAUUAGAGGCACUUUGCCACCAUUUCCCGAGAAUGGAUCUUUCAAGACAAUAGCCAUUAGUUAUACAAAUUUUUUGGGUUCAUUGCCAGAUUCCAUUGGUUUCCUUGGAGCUUUGUCAAGGAUAGAUCUGUCACAUUGCAAUUUCACGGGACCUAUUCCAUCAACAAUGGCAAAUCUCACAGGACUGGUUUAUGUGGAUUUCUCAGUCAACAAGUUCAACGGUUCAAUCCCGUCAUUUGGGAUGUCUAAGAACCUCAUUUACCUGGACCUCUCUCAUAAUAAUCUAACAGGCAACAUUCCUUCCACUCGCUUUGAAGGCUUUGUACAUCUUUCCUCGAUUAACUUGGGAUGUAAUUCCUUAAGGGGAAAAAUUCCACUAUCUCUGUUUGCUCUUCCAUCCUUGCAGAAACUCCAACUUCCCAAUAAUAGUUUCAUAGGUCAAGUGGAUGAAUUUCCCAAUGCAUCUGCCUCUUUCUUAGAUACACUUGAUUUGAGUUGCAACCAACUCAAUGGUUCAAUUCCAAGGUCGAUUUUUGAACUGAAAAGGCUCAAUGUACUCUCACUUUCUUCCAACAGCUUUAGUGGCAGUCUGCAACUUCAAAUCAUAAACGGGCUCCAAAACCUCACAAGACUUGAGCUUUCUUACAACAAGUUAUCAAUUGAUGCAAGCAGCGGCAAUUCAACCACAUCUGCCUUCCCUCAGCUUAGUGUAUUGAAACUAGCUUCUUGCAAGUUGCAAAAGUUUCCAGAGCUAAGAAACCAGUCCAACAUGAUCCAUCUAGACCUUUCAGACAACCAAAUUGCUGGAGAAAUACCUAGAUGGAUAUGGGAAGUUGGUGACGGAACUCUUCAAUAUCUGAACCUUUCCUGCAAUCGCCUAGUGGAUCUCCCCAUGAAUGCCACUAUGUGCAAUCUGUCUGUGCUCGACUUACAUUCUAACCAACUUCAAGGUGAGUUUCCAAAACCACCAAAAACAGCUAUAUAUGUGGACUACUCAAGCAAUAAGUUCAGGAAUUCCAUCCCACAAGAUAUUGGGAACUCUCUUCCUUUUGCUGUUUUCUUUUCUGUUUCAAAUAAUAGCCUUUCCGGAGUUAUCCCUCAAUCCAUAUGCAAUGCAAGUUACCUCCAAGUUCUUGAUUUGUCUAACAAUGCUUUCAGAGGCAGCAUACCAGACUGUCUGUUCUACAACAUGGAGAAUCUCUGGGUUCUGCAUCUAGGGAGAAACAACCUCGGUGGCACCAUUCCAGAUAAAUUUCCAAUUAGUUGUGUCCUCAAAAGUUUAGACCUUAGUAAAAAUCGUCUAACAAGACGGAUUCCAAGAUCCCUGGUCAACUGUACAUCGUUGGAAGUUCUCAAUAUUGGCGGCAAUGAAGUUGAAGAUACUUUCCCCUGCAUGUUAAAGAACUUAUCUAGUUUGCGGGUACUAGUUCUGCGAUCCAACAGGUUCUACGGAUACCUUAGCUGUUCACUGGCCAAUGACAGCUGGCAAAACCUUCAAAUCAUUGACAUAGCUUUCAACAACUUCACUGGUGCUCUGUCCCCAAAAUGCUUCUCUAAUUGGAAAGGAAUGAUUAGCCAUGGAGAAAAUGGGCAAUCAGAUCAAGACCAUCUGCAUUUUCCUGUCUUGAGUCUUAGUAACCUAUACUAUCAGGAUACUUUGAUGGUAACAUCCAAAGGGCUCGAGCUGGAGUUCGUGAAAAUUCUAAAGGUCUUCACAUCCAUUGAUUUCUCGAGGAAUAGUUUCGAAGGAAGCAUCCCAGAAACAAUAGGAGAACUCAAUGCACUUUAUCUUCUCAACUUAUCGCAUAAUGCUCUCACUGGUACAAUCCCAAAAUCAAUUGGGAACUUGACACAGCUUGAAUCACUAGACCUCUCAAAGAACCGGCUAAGUGGAAUGAUACCACCACAGCUUGCAAAUUUGACAUUCCUGUCAUUCUUGAACCUAUCCAUUAAUCAACUCCUUGGAAGUAUCCCCCGGGGCAACCAGCUUGAAACGUUUACAGAAACUUCUUAUGAGGGAAACAAAGGGCUGUGCGGCGCCCCUUUGAACAUCAGCUGCAAAGGCAACAACGAUGAUGCUCAGGUGCCUUCCUCAGUAGAUGCAAAUUCAGUGGCCGAGACCGGAGUUGAUUGGCAGUUCAUAUUCACCGGUCUGGGGUUUGGGGUAGGAGCAGCAGUUAUCGUUGCAACCCUAUUUGUCUGCAAGGAAGGGAGGGACUGGUCCGAUAAGCAUUUAGAAAGAAUUGUGCUGCUGAUUUUUCCAGGAUACAGGUUCUCUUACACCAGGUAUGAUCAAGGAAUGGUUGAGGCAGUGGAGAAUUCGGAGGACGAGUUCCUGGACGACACAGAAGAUUCUGAAUUCGAGGUAGAACACGAGGCGUUUGGACGCAAGUAUUGUGUAUUCUGCAGCAAACUUGACGUUCACAGAACAAGAGCUGUGCACAAUCCAAAAUGCACCUGUCAUACUUCAGCGCCUGUAUAUUUUACUUCUCCAACAUCUUCUUCCUCUUUGUUAAUUCUGUAUCAUCAACAUUUUUGACAUUUUUAUUCUCUUUUCAAUGUUAUUGUACAUAAGCCACAGAAAAUUAAAAAAUUCUGAACACUAAUUAAAUCCGGCAAUUUGUCGUGCACUACUUUGUGUGUGUGUGUGUUUUUUUUUUUUGAGUAAUUUUGUCAAACAUUUUGGACUCAUCGAUAUGUUUCUUCUCGUCAUCGUGCUCAGAAAAGUAGGGAACAUCAAGUAGUAAUACUUCUAAUUCAACAUUUUUUAUUAUCCCAAGAAAACGUAAAUUUUUUUUAUGUCAAUCGUCAACUCUUGCGUUACUUUUACUCGGUGACCAAUUCACCUAAAGCGAGUUAAUUUUUUCAUUUCACACUCAAACUUCAAAAACUAGGCAUUUGCAUACGUUCGACACAAGUAAAAAGAACCAAAAAAGAGUAGGGAAAAGUAGGAGAGGCCGAUGAAGACCUUAAUGCCACUUUCUAAAAACAAUAGGAGUAUUAUUGCUCCCUCCGUUGAGACUUGACCCUAUUGAUCGACUGGUCUAAGAAAACAAGUCAAAUAAUAUUGCAGAGUACAAAUUAAUUUAUUGGUUAAACAAAAGUUUGGAAUCAGAUAUUGCAUUUAGCAACUUAUUGACAAGAGUUGCUGGAGCUAAAUUUUGUGUUUGAAAUCACUCGAGCAUGUAAAAUAGACUCACCCUCAAACAUCGUUAUAUUCUCAUAAUUCUUCAAUUAUUACAAGGGUAGUAUUCAGUGGUGGAGCCAGGAUCCUAAAUGUGGAACUAUCACGUUUGAUGGAUAUAUCUGUUACACAUAUCAUUGAAUCUAAUUUUGUGACUUUAAUUUAGCAAUAAGAUCAUUCCGCUUAUUUGAGUUAGGAACAUUAAAAAAUUUAGAAAAAAAUUUUAAAAAAGUAUUUAUUAUUUGUCUUAAACACACAUUUUCCAACAUUUUUUUUAUCUUAUUUAUUUCACAUAAAAAAAUUGCUAUAUAAAAGAAAAUUUUUCAAAUUACUUUCAAUCCAAAUGGAUCAAUCAUUAUAUAAUUUGAAGUAGAUCCAAGAGUCUAACAAAAGAUAAUCAUUAUGAUAUCUUAAUAGUUAUGGAGGCAAGGCAACAAUAAAAGAUAAAUGCACAAAAUUUAGGGAAGAGCAAAUAUAAUGUAAUUUAAAAACUUCUCAAAUUUUCAAAAACUAUUUUAUGAUUUUACCAAAGCUGUGGGGGGCACAGUUGCCAACAUCAACCAAUGUUUAAAAACCAACCUGGACCAGUCGAUUGACGAUUCAGACAGGUUGAACUGUCGAUCCGCUUACUUUCCGGUUUAGAUUAGUUUCGAAAACUAGUUAGUAUCAUUAUACUUUAAACCAGUUGAAUUGCCUAUUUCAACCACUAAACCGUUGAACCAGAACGAUUUUGUGAGAAUUGCUCAAUUUAAUAUCCAACCUUAAUUAAACUAACAAUUUUAAAUUUGGUCAACUAUUCCCAUUAAUGACAUUCCAAAUUUAAUUUUUUACCAAUUAUCCAUGCAUAAUUAUCUCCAAUUAAUUAGACAAUAAUAAUUAUUGUUUUAUUCUACUCAUUAAUCACAUAUUAACUCUUAUUUAAUAUUUAUAACAUAUAAUUAACUAUAUUAGUUUUGUUUCAAAUCUUGAAUGCAUUUCAUUUAUUUGUUAAUGCCUUUUAAGUCCUUUAAUUUUUAUUAUAUAAACUAGUACCCAUAUAAUUUAGGAAACUUAAAAACAUUUGAAAUAAUAAACGUUUAACUAAUACAAGCUAUUUUUGAGUCUAAAACAAAUAAUACUACUUAGAAGAAUAGAAUGAGAAUUGAAGUGAUUAUAUUUAACAAUAUGACUCAAGUUUCUACAAAUAUUUGUUUGUUUUUUAGAUUUUAACAUUUAUUAAUAAGAUUUAUGACAUCAUGAGUUAAUAAUGGCCAACUCAACGGUUGGAUUGACUCGUGACUCAUUUAUUUUUCUGGGUCAAUAAACGGUCUAAGUUUCGAAACCUUGCCAUCAACAAUACGUAGCUCCGCCACUGGUAGUAUUAUUGUCAAAGCACAUUAUAUAGUGCUAGAGUAUCUUUGCUCACUAAGACAAAAAAAAGACCUCCGAGCAUGUGGAAUGUGUAAAUUUGAUGAAGCAACGGAUAUCAGAAAAGGGACUGGUGCGUGUAAUUACAAUUGACACAUAUAUAACGCUCUUACUGAUAGUUACCGUAAGAAGGAAAUGUUUGAUGCUGCCUUUGACUUGUUGGAAUGAUGGCAUAAAAAUUGUAGCCUAAUCCCGCUAUAUACAAUGAACCGGUUUCUCAGGCCUAAAGGAUGCACAACUUAAUGGCAUCACUUGAUAACAUGCUUGAAUGAAAGUUGUCUCUAACUUUCAUGGGAAUUGAUAGUGCUUUGCUUAGGUUGAUGAUUUGCUAACAUAUUUUGCCCCUCACCUUCCUCAUAUUCAAGAUAAAUGCUGCAGGGCCGAUAUUACUGCCAUUAUAAUCUAAUUAAUUUUGUUCCAUUUCGCUGAUACACUAUCAGGUAAUCAGCUCUAUUUGACCAAAUGCUGAACUACAUAAAUUAAUGAUUUGAGGGUGGAACAUGUUCAUACGUUAGUGGCAAAAUUUCCUUGCCUUCCCGGUAAGGGUCAUUCUCAAUAAAUGUGACAUGUCUCAUUCUCAAUAAAUGUGAUACGUGACGGGACUUGUAAAGUAUCAACGUUAACUAAAUUUCACAAAUUUUUUGAAAUUGCUGGUUUAAUAAGAAUAAAUCUAAUAUACACUAUCAUGAUUGAAUGAAUGAUAUAUAAGCAAAAUUUGAAUUUAAUAGCGUAUACACUAUCACCGUUAGACACAUGACACAUGUGUAAAAUUUGAAUUUUUUAGGUUUAAAAAGAAUAAAUCUAAUAUACACUAUCAUGGUUGAAUGAAUGAUAUAUAAGCAAAUUUUGAAUUUAACAACGUAUACACUAUCACCGUUAGACACAUGACACAUGUGUAAAAUUUGAAUUUUUUAAAUUCAAAUUUUACAUAUGUCAUUUAUCCAACCGUGAUAGUGUAUAUGCUAUUAAAUUCAAAAUUCAAAUUUUACACGUGUCAUGUGUCUAACGGUGAUAGUGUAUAUACUGAUAGUGUAUACAAGAUUAAUCCUUAAAAGUAUUCAAACAUCCUAAAAAAAUAGAGAACAUUGUAAGCAAAGACUCCCAAAAAAGGUACUAAAGCGCAUUCAACUUCACUAACCUUCUUCCAUUUUUACACCCUCAGCCUUAUGAAACUACCAUACAACCAAAUCAUCACCUUAUACAAUCAAUUUACACGGGUUUUACAGUAGGACCAGAGGCAUAGAGAAACUCAGCAGAACAAAGCAUCAAGUUGGAUUACGUUGCAGUGUUAAGCUCAACCUAACAGCACUGCCAAUAACUACCCAAAGAACUAAAAGUUCAUAAAAGACGCACGAUAGAAAUGUCAGCAAUAUUUGAGAUUUUGGGGGUGAGUUCUUUAAUGCGAAAACUCAGAGACACAAAAGCCACUGUUACAGAUAAAAGCCAGUCAAACAAUAGGCAUUGAUAAAGAGAGAAACUAGAAGAACGCAAAUAGUAAGCAAGUGCAAAGUGAAAGUCAAUCAAAUAUACUCAUCUUAAAAAUUGGUCUUCAAUUUUGUUUUAGGAGUUGCUCCUAUUUAAUAUUCACAGGAAUUACAUGAAUAUUUGAUUUUUUGCAACUACUUGUUUAAUCAAACUUUUGACAUCUAUUCCACACCCAUACGUGUGACUAUUGAAAAUCCUUGAUAUGAAAUCCAAAACUUAGGGAAGGCAAAUAAUAAAGAUGUUCCUAUGAUUUACUCUCCAGUUUUUCUUUUUUUUUCUUUUUUUUUUAAAUCCCAAAAUUGGUCCAACAUUGGUGGUCAUAAAGUUUUCCUAAUCUCAACAUUACCAAGAACACCAGGCUUCAAAGCAGAUUCAUCAAGUUCACUAUUCCCUCAUUUUCAUAGUCAACAUUAGUUUGUUAAUCAACAUCAAGUUUGUUAAUCAACAUUACUUUACACAGAACACGUGGUUUGAAAUUAAACUACUACAACUAUUAACAACCAAGUCUUUAAGCCCAACAUUGAAUAAGUUAUGCACGUAGCAUGCUUAGCAAAGCAAACAUGACAUUCCAGGCUUUAAUCAAACAAUAUCGAUCCAAAUCUACAAAAAGAAAAAGGCCCCAAGAUGGAAUUUCACUCACUUGAGCUAUAAAAAGUUGUCCAGAAAGUGUAAUAGCUGUCUGCAAAAAGACAAAAAAUGAUGAAGUCAUUACCAACUAACUAAAACAGUUACAGCCAACCCACAGCCUCUUACUUUGAAUUUCCAAUCAUUCACACUUGGUAUCAAUCCCUAUCUCUCAACCUGUAGCAAACAUACGAAACUUAUUAGAGAAUAAAAGAAAGUUUAAUCAAGAGAAAAAUGUAUACAUAGAAUAAGAAUGGAGAAGCCAGUGAUUUUCAGAGAGAAAGAAAGAAAUAUAAAGACAGAAGGGAAUUUUGAGACAGAAGCUUCGAGUAGGCGGGGGCUGAGCUAUGGAAAAUUUUUUGGAUGGGAAUUGAUCAGUCUUCUCAGAAUUGAGCCCUACCCCGCUGUUGCAGAUAAAGGAAUUUGAGGGAAGACCUCUGGUUUUUCCAACUCCCAGUAUUUUACCCACCAGCAAAGAGGGGAAAUUUGUUUUUGCACAGAAAGGGGGAGAAAAUUUUAUUUUUUUUUUUUACGGAAAGGAUUGGGAAGAGAUGGCUCUGAGGUCUUUCUGUCAAUUUUUCUAAGGAACACUCUGACAUGAGAUAUUCCAGCAACACCUCUCCCCAUUCAUCAGAUUUGGCAUCAACCAAUCUAACAAUUUACCAUUCAUCCAGUAUCUUGCUCAAAAUAAUUAUUUACUUUUUAACCACGAAGACGCACACAUUAAAAAGCCUUGUUCCAUUUUUUCCACUUGACCAGAUGUUCAAAAAAAAUUGAAGCACAAGACAAAAGAGACAAAAGAAAGAAACUUUUGACGGCUAAGAAACAGAGAUUACACAAACAAACAUGAAAAAUGCUUUAUUUCUCUAAUUCUUAAAACCCCAAGGAACCAUACGGAAUGUCCUUUGUGAGGAGUUCAACAAACAUUUGCACAGAAGAAAAGAGACGAAAUGAUUAAAAAGAAAAACCUGCCAUUAGUUUCUGUUCAUUCUUCUUCUAUCACAUAGCUGCCAUUUAAACAAGAAGCGAGUUUUAGAAUACCAAAAAAGAGGACAAAGACCUAAAAGGAAACUGUAAAAUAAAUAAAAUUUAAAAAAAAACUACUAAAAAAUAAUCACUUAGUCAGUAAAAUACUGUCAAAACCUCCAUUAAAAUCACAAUCACUUCCACUCAAUUUUCAUCAUCUUCUUCCACCUAAAAAAUGAAAACCAAAAAAAAAAAAAAAAAGCCAUCUCUCCAAGUCCAAAUUAAUCUAACAAAAAAAUAUCCUUAAAAGAGAAAGAAAAAAGAAGCAUUACUAGUUUUCUAGUACUCAGGAACGAGUAUAUCAAAGUGAAAAAAAUAAACCAAAGUUUUCUUGCUAAUCUGGGAGUAUAAUAGAGAAAAAAUCUAAGAGCAUAACAUACAAAGGACACAAGAAAGGGGAGAAAGUGAUUUGUUGCUUUUAGCCAAGGAAAGAUCAGCAAAAAAAUGGCACAGAAAUAGAAGGAAUUUGUUAACAGGUAUCUUGGGAGGAAAACAUCUAGUCACAUAUUAUGAGUGACCAACUAGUAUUUAUAGGAGUACAAACCUAACCGACUAUUUACAAGAAUACCCUUACUAAUUUAUUAUCUAUAAGAAUACUAAUAUUCUCCCAACACUCCCCCUCAAGUUGGAGCAUAUAUAUCAUAAGCACCCAACUUGUUACAAAUGUAUUUCACCCUAGAGCCCCCUAAACUCUUGGUAAAUACAUCAGCCAAUUGAUCUACAGACGGUACAUGAGAUGUCUUGAUGACCCCGUCAAGCAAUUUCUCUCGAAUGAAAUGACAAUCAACUUCAAUAUGUUUUGUCCUUUCAUGAAACACUGGAUUAGACGCAAUAUGAACAGCCGCCUGAUUAUCACACACUAAAUUCAUAGGCUGUUUAUGCUCAAACCCAAGUUCCAGUAACAUGCUCUUCACCCAAACCAACUCACACACAGUGUGAGCCAUAGCGCGAUAUUCAGAUUCUGCACUUGAUCUGGAUACAACUGUUUGCUUCUUACUCUUCCACGACACUAAAUUACCACCAACAAACACACAAUAUCCUGUAGUCGAUCUUCGAUCUGAGGCAGAACCAGCCCAAUCUGCAUCACUAUAUCCUUCAAUAUCAGUGUGUCCAUGAUUUUGAUACAGCAACCCUUUUCCAGGAGCACUCUUAAGAUACCUGAGAAUCCGUAUAACAGCAUCCCAAUGACUAGUACGAGGGGUAUCAAGAAAUUGACUCACAACACUCACUGCAAACGAAAUGUCAGGUCUUGUUACAGUGAGAUAAUUUAAUUUACCCACAAGUCUUCGAUAUUGCUUAGGAUCAUCAAGUAAUGCACCUAGAUCUCCUGCUAAUUUCACAUUGGGAUCCAUAGGAGUAUCCACAGGUCGGCAACCUAACAUCCCAACUUCACUCAACAUAUCGAGUACAUAUUUUCUUUGACAUAAAUAAACCCCAUAUUUAGACCGAGCUACCUCAAUACCCAGAAAAUACUGUAGAUGACCUAAAUCCUUUGUCUGAAAGUUUGCCUGCAGAUUGGAUUUAAGUUUCUGGAUCCCCACAACAUCAUCACCUGUAAUCACAAUGUCAUCCACAUAAACAACUAAUAAAAUUUUACCAGCAUUAGAAUGCCGAUAAAAUACAGAGUGAUCUACUCCACAUCUUGUCAGACCGAACUCCAUGACAACACUACUAAACCGGCCAAACCAAGCCCUCGGAGACUGUUUCAAUCCAUAUAAGGAUUUUUUCAAACGACAAACCAACCGCGGAUUCUCCCCCUGAACAACAAAUCCAGGAGGUUGUUCCAUAUAUACCUCUUCUUUCAAAUCUCCAUGCAGAAAUGCAUUUUUCACAUCCAACUGAUGCAAUGGCCAAUUAUAAGUGGCUGCCAAAGAGAUAAGAAGACGAACAGAGGUAAUCUUUGCAACAGGAGAAAAAGUUUCUAAGUAAUCUACUCCAUACACCUGAGUAAAUCCUCUAGCUACCAGCCGAGCCUUCAAUCUAUCAAUAGAACCAUUAGGCUGCACUUUUAUAGUGUACACCCAUUUACAACCAACAACAGGCUUACCUGAAGGACGAGGGACAAGAUCCCAAGUACCAUUUUGUUCCAAAGCAGACAUCUCUUCUUGCAUAGCUAAUCUCCAACCAGGAUGAUUAAGAGCAUAGGUAAUAGACUUAGGAAUGGAGAUAGAAUCAAGAGAAGCAACAAAAGAAGAAUAUGACAUAGAGAGACGAGAAUAAGAAACAAAAUUAGAAAUAGGAUGGGAAGUACAAUGUCUCUUACCUUUGCGUAAAGCAAUAGGAAGAUCUAACUCAGAGGAGGGCGUCAUACCUGGAUUUGAAGAUUGAGAGUUAAUUGGUGAAGUGCGUGGCAUAUCAGGAACUUUCUCAACCAUGGAACGACGAGAGUAAACUUGAAGAUGAGGACGAGAUAAUCGAGCUAUGGAAUCUGGUGGACUAGACAACUCAGGUAAUAAAGGGGAAGGGAUUGGUAAAACAGGAGAGGAAAAAGAGGGACACUGGUCUAAUUCACAAGACAUACUUUGCUUGAUAAAAUACGGAGUGGAUUCAAAGAAAGUAACAUCAGCACAAGUAAAAAAUCGAUUUAAAACUGGACUGUAACAUCUAUACCCUUUUUGCGCUCGUGCAUAUCCUAAGAAAAUACACUUAAUAGCACGAGAAUCUAAUUUAUUCAUCCCCGGAGCAAGCUGAUGAACAAAGCACACACAUCCAAAAAUACGAUGAGGCAAUUUAAACACAGGUUCAUGAGGAAAAAGAAUGGAGUGAGGUAAUUGACCUCCAAGAAUAUUAGAUGGCAUGCGAUUAAUUAAAUAACAUGCAGUUAGAACUGCAUCACUCCAAAAUUGUUUGGGCACAUUCAUGUGCAAUAACAGUGUUCGAGCAAUUUCGAUUAAAUGCCCAAUUUUUCUUUCAGCAACUCCAUUCUGUUGUGGAGUGUGAGGACAAGAGGACUGAUGAAUAAUACCAGACUUAGUCAUAAAGGUAUUAAAAGGAGUGGAAAAAUAUUCUUUCGCAUUAUCACUGCGAAGUAUACGUACAGGCACACCAAAUUGAUUCUUUAUUUCUGCAACAAAUGCACAAAAAAUGGAAUAUAAUUCUGAACGAUCUUUCAUUAAAUAAAGCCAUGUAACUCUGGAAAAAUCAUCAACAAAGACUACAAAAUAUUUAAAACCUAACUUUGAAGUGACUCGACUAGGACCCCAAACAUCAGAAUGAACUAACAAAAAGGGUUCAGAAACCCGUUUAUUGACUCUAGGAGCAAAAGAAACACGAUGAUGCUUUCCUAACUGACAAGACUCACAUUCUAACGAAGAUAAUUGAUUCAAAGUAGGAACCAACUUUUUCAAAUUUUGUAAAGACGGAUGACCUAAACGACAGUGAAUUUCAAGAGAAGAAACAGUAGCAGGACAUGCUAUCGGACCAUUGAAGUUGAGAAAAUAAAGACCAUUAUGCUCAUGCCCUCCACCAAUCGUCCUCUUUGUCUUCAAAUCCUGAAUGACAACAGAAUCAGGAGAAAAAGUAACUGUACACUGUAGAAAUUUAGUGAGCUUACUAACAGACAUUAGAUUAAAUGGCAAAUUGGGUACGUAAAGAACAGAAGACAGCGGAAGUGAUGGAUUAAUUUCUAUAGUGCCUAGUCCUUUAACUUUAGUGGUAGAUCCAUCAGCUAAAGUAACAUGAGGAAAGGGAGUAGACUCUUGAAAAUUAGAAAAAAUUUUAGAGGUACCUGACAUAUGAUCAGUAGCCCCGGAGUCAAUAAUCCAUGAGUCAUUACCUUUUUGUGCUAAAGAAGCAGAGGGAAGAGAUGCGUGAUUUGUAGCUUGGUACUGUAAGAAUUUAACAUAAUCUUCCUCGGAUAUAGUAACAGUUUUCUGGGACCCAUGUGCUGAAGAACUUGAUUCAACUUGAUCAGUGGUAACCCCAUUAGCAAAACUUUCAACCAUAGCGAAUAGCACUUCAAACAAAACAGCAAUCAAAAUUCACGGUGAACAGUGCGCCGUGAACAGUGCGUCGUGAAUAGUACCGCGUGAACAGUGCGCGAUGAACAGCACGCGCGAUGAUGAACAGUGCGCGUGAACAGUGCGCGAUGAACAGUAUCGCGUCAAGACUUUUGCUAGAUAUUUAACCCUAACCCUAGGACUUUUGCUCUGAUACCAUGUUAACAGGUAUCUUGGGAGGAAAACAUCUAGUCACAUAUUAUGAGUGACCAACUAGUAUUUAUAGGAGUACAAACCUAACCGACUAUUUACAAGAAUACCCUUACUAAUUUAUUAUCUAUAAGAAUACUAAUAUUCUCCCAACAGAAUUAUUAACCAUGAUUACUUGAGGGAGGAGAGAGGGAAGAGGGAGAUGAAGAAGAAGGGAAGAAAACAAAGAAGGGGAUAACCACCCACUCCACCUCACAAUUCCCCAAUCAGCUCCGGCCACAUAGGUGGACAACCAACAUAAGGUGGCCUGGGGGUGGGGUGGUCUUCACUCUCAUACUAUAUUGGAUAAUAUGUGUGAUUGGCUUAUCAUGACAAAGGAUGUAAACAAACAAACAAACAAAAAACAGAAGGUAUAGGAAGUACCUGGUUCAGAAGAAUAUUCAGUCUCUGAGAAAGCUAAAUUCAUAGUUGGAAAAAAACACAAUGAGUUUGUUUGGAUAAGAAUUUAUUUGG
rnacentral:lncRNA from 1 species